ACAUUAUAGGUCACUUUGGGCCAAUACCAUUGAACAAGUGAUUUUCCUCAACCUCUAAAAUACAUAACUCCUUCAUGCCCAAUCCAAAUGAGGUCAAAUUUAUGACCAAAUUGAAUAGUUUUGAAAUAGAUACAACUUUUAUGAAGGAACUUUUCUCAUUUGAAGUCCAUAGAAAAUGUUAUUAAAGGUGGAAGAAUUGAACAUAUGACUUAGGACUUAGAAAAUUUUGAAAUAUGUUUGAUUUCCCAAACUUCCACCUCAAAAGUCAUCAUGAUCCAAGGUUCAAAUGAAAAAGUGUUCAACAUGAAAUUUGUUCCCUUUGAUCUCACCUUUCCAAAAAGUCCAAGAUAAUCUCAUUAGGAUCAAAAUUGAGGGACUUACGCAUGGCUCCAUUGUGGAAAGUGUUUUGGCAAGUUUUGAACUCAAAUGAUCAUUCUUCUUUGCAUGCUUCCACAUGAUGAAUUUAGUAUACUUUGCACACAAUUUGGAGGUGGAUUACAUCACUCCUUAGGCCCAAACUAUUGCCCAUGCACCCAUGCAAGAAGGUUUCCAAAUUUGGCCAAAAUUCAAGUGGUGCAAAAAUCAAAUGCAUUUCCUAUUUAAACAAGCUCAAGGCUUCAGAAUCAAUAUCAACACCUCGCCCAAGCUUUGCUAGACUGAUUCAAACCCCCAUUGCCAUAAAAUUUUUGAAGAUUUCUCUUGAAAUUGAGCUUGAACUUCAUCUUCUGUUUGGAUGUUCAAACUCCAGAAAUUCACUUCCCUUUUCAUCUCAAUUUGCUUCUGCAAGCAAGAGGAAGAGAAAGCAAUCAAAUCUAGAUCAAGAUCAAGUGGAAUUGGAUCAACUUGAAGGUGAUUUUUCAGAAACUUCAUCUCUUCGAUUCUCUCUCAAUUCUCCAUCAUUCUUUGUGAUUUUUGGUUGUCUGAAGUCCUAUCAAUGUAGGCAAGAAGAUUGAGUUGCUUUGAGCUUAAAUUGAAGCAACUCAGUUCAUGAUCCUCAAAAUUCAAAUCCCUGUAUCUUUUUAUAUACUUGGAAUUAGACAAAAUUGAGGCCAGAUUCGUGCUCUUGAGCAUUUUUCCUACAAAUUAGUGUAUUCACUUUUCAUUUUCCAUUGAGUUGAGCUUGGACCAGUCCGGUGGUCCUCACCGGAGAAGAUGACCGGAGCUAGGGCUCCGGUAGUGUGUUGGCAAGGUUCCAACCAUCUGAUCUGGUCCAUAGCUUCUAAUCUUGGUCAUUGGUUUUGAUUACCACGUGUGUGGCGCUUUGACUUGAGUCUACCAUGGAAUGCACGCGUGUGGCCAUCAGAUCUGCCACCUCAAUUAAUGAGGGAGAUCUGAUGGCCCGUGUUUUUUUAUUUAUAUUUUAUUUUAUGUUUUUUAAUUUAAUCCAUUUAUUUUGAUUAAUUCAUAUUAAUUUCAUUUAAAUCCUAAAACUAUGGAACUUUCACCAAAAAAAUUCAAAUAUUUUCCUCUUUCAUUUUUCUGAAUUAAAAUUAUUUUUUGGAUUAAUGUUGAUAUUUUUCAUGAUUUAAUUGUUUUUAUGCAUAUUUUUAAUUGUUUAAAAAUACUUAUGACUUUUCACAAAUUAUGAAAUUUUUUGUCCAAGGUCCUUUGACCUUGUUUGACCUAUGAUAAAUCUCUUGGCCAUUUAUUUGGUGUUUUGAAGAGGUUUUAGGUUUUUGAUCAAACAUAAUUUAAUUUAAAUGCAUUUUUAUUUUAUUUUUAAUUGAUUAAUUGUGUAGAAAUCAUGUUGAGCCAUUUUUAUUGACUUGUGAAGUUUGCUAUGUGUUUGUGCCUUGGUCAAGGUUGAUUUGACUUUUGUUGGAUCAAAAUCACUGGAUUUAGGGGAUUGAUGAAAUGUACAUUUCAUCUUCCAAAAUGAAUGAAUGAUUUUAAUUUGAUAAAAUUCCUCCCAUGACCAAUUUGUGUUUGUCUCAUCUCCCCUCCCUCUUCAUCUUCAAUCCCAUUUUAUCUCAUCCCUUUCAUUGACUAAUGAAGUCUCAUUAUCAUAAGGCUAAUUGGUUCAUCAAUAACUUUGUGUUAGAUGAACCAAUACAAGUAUGGAUGAGAUUAGGUCCAUCCCUUGGAUCAUUUUCUUUUUAUGUGUGGUAUGUUUUAGGAGUAUGGUUCAUUAUACCAUAUCUCUAACAUGCAUUAACACCAAAAUUUCUAUUGCCCGGCCUCAAAUAGUUGUGACUUCUACAUAAGUCCAAUUACGGUUGCUUAACAUAGCGCUAAAUUUUGACCCAAAGACAUAGCAUUCUAGUAAGUGAGAUUGUAAGUCUCCCCCUUUUUAUGGUAUUAUGUGGAAACUUUGCCUUUUUUCCUUCCUUUGGAAGAUGUCUUGGUUCAAGGAUUCAUGCUUGUGAAUAGAGGGUUGAGUGUUCUCCAAAGAAUGAUUUAAUCAAUUGAAAAGCAAAACUUUACUAACAUCUAAUCAACUAACAUUUGACUAUAUAUUGUGAUUGUAUAUAUUUGUUUAUGUAUCUUGUUUGUAUUGAUUGGUCUUAGGACCUUAAAGUACUUAAUAAACAACAAAAACCAUAAAAAAUGUUUGUGUGGACUGUUGGAUUUGAUUUGAGCUUUGGACUUAGAAUUAGGCAACAUUCCCUAUGCAAAAGGACUUGGCCAAUGCCAACAUUUCUGAAACCAAGUUAUUGUGAAUUGAGCUUUCAUCUGAUGCAAAUAUUGAUAUCCCCUUGAGUUCAUAUGCUACAUGGUCUUGAUGCAAAUGUUACUUUGAACCUGUGUCUAAUGCCCUAUUCUGAGCUAAAUCAAGGAGUAUGUCAUCUGAUGCAUGGGAAGAUUGGGAAGAAGACUUUGAAGUUGCUUGCUUGGAUGUGGCUAUCUUUAUUUGAUGCUCUGCUCUUCAUUUUGCUACUUGCUUAUUGAUAUUGCUUGAUUUAAAGUCCAAAGGGAAAAUGGGUUUCUAUAUGAUAUUCUUGUCUAUUGGAUUGCAUCCCAUUGGUCAGAUCUUUCCAACUCUUAACUUUUAAAAAAUUCUUAGGAUUAGUCUCUUCAUCUCUCCCACUUAUUAAAUUUCAAAUCUCUCCCCCUUUUUUUAAAAAUCUUUUUUGCUUGUGAUUUCUAAACUUAUACUCUUUUUCAAAAAUAAAACUUUGGAUUUAUACCAUUGCAUUUUUUAAACUCUUCUCUUAAAUCAAACUUGUAAAUGAAUCUAAUCAUAUUGACUUAAGAUUUCAAAAAGACAAAAAUAACUAACACUCAUUCAAACUCUUUUAGGCCCUUUGUGCCUCUUUUAAAUUUGUUUUUUAUUAAAAGCAACUCAUUCACUUUGAAAUUGAUACCACGAACUACGAGGUUUUGAUCCCUCAUUUUAUGUUGGUACGUAGGCACAAGUCUGAAGGUCUUGUCAAACACAAAUAUAUAACUAGUGAAUUCUUUUCUCAUCCCCACAUUGUAUUUAUUACAAACAUCUUUUAUACUAAAACACAUGCACACAUAAAAAAGGGCUCCCUAGGAGUACCUAGGACACUUUGGGUGCUAACACCUUCCCUCUGUGUAACCAACCCCCUUACCUAUAAUCUCUGACAUUUUAUUAGUUUUGAUUUGAAAACUUCUACACCUUCCCUCUGUGUAACCAACCCCCUUACCUAUAAUCUCUGACAUUUUAUUAGUUUUGAUUUGAAAACUUCUUAUCUUUGGGUUUUGUUCGUACUUUUCCCUUUUCCUUUGGAAACAAUAAAAGUGUGGCGGCGACUCUGGUUUUAUUGACGUUAAGUUUAUCCAUAGCUUAAUAGUCAUGAAUUUACCGCUUCAAUCACAGCAGACUGAUUUAUGUGAGUCAAAAGUACAUUUAAGAUGAUGCAAAAUUUGUUGUAAAGCUUGAGGAGAAGAGUGUCCCAUUCUAGUGUGCCACAAAGUAGUUAAGUCUUUCUUAGUCGUCCCUAAGAAUCCAUGUUGAGAUGACUUUGUGAAAAAAAUAGACACCUUCAUACAUUCUACCAAAUUCAAUCUUCUUCUUCGUUAGAGGGUCCUGGAUUAUGCAACAAUUUUGGUAAUAAGCUACCAUACAAGAUAGAUCAUGAGUCAAUUUAUGAAUGGAGAUCAAGUUAUAGUUGAAUGAAGGAACUACAAACACAUUAUGCAGUAUGAAAUUAGGGAACAAAAAUACAUCUCAUAUGCAAUCAACAAGGGUGGAUGUUCUAGUGGGAGUAAUGAUUUGGAAAGACUUUGACAGUUGCUUAAUAUUAUGCAAACUAGAUGGUAAAUAAGUCAUGUGAUGAGAUGCACCAUUAUCAAGUAUCCAUGUAUGACUUGCAUGUACAUUACCGCUCAUGUUAUCGAGAGGAGGAACUGGAUUUUUGGUGCGGGUGUCAUUUAAAUCAUGCCCUGAUGUUGAACCUUCUGCAACAUCACGUUUUUCAACUGAUGCUUUGUGGUCUCUUCUUGGAGUUCUUCUGGUUUCCCAAUGUGUAGGAUAGCCGACAAUUUCAAAGCAUUUUUCUUUGACAUUUCCAUUUUUACCACAGUGAUCACACUUGACUUUCAGCUAUUCACGCCAUUUUGAUUUGUCAUGUUUGGAAGAGUGAAAAGUUGAACAUGUAUUGGUGUUAACACUUUUUGCUAUAUCAGUUGUUAACCGUGAUUCCUCUCGUUUUAUAAGGUUGAAAACACAUCGCACGGUGGGAGGGGACUGGAGUUGAGGAUGAUGCCCUUGAUUUGAGAAAAUUGAUUGUUGUCAAGACCACCAAGAAACAGAUGCACGUGGUGUUCAUCAUCUCUUUUGGUUAAAGAUUUGGAGGCUCCACAAUUUCACUCCGGUAUCGGUUAGAGUUCAUCAAGUUCGUCGAAAAGGCUCUUGAAUUUGGUGUAAUAUUUUGUUAUACUCAUGUCAGAAUCUUUCUGCAUAAGACAUAUGAUGCGCCAUAACUGAUGAAUUUGUGUCUUCAAGAUCAAUCCAAAUUUCGCGGGCAGUUGAUGCGUGUGAGAUACUUCCAUUUAGAUUUGGAUCGAUCAUAUUGAUAAUCCAUGCCAUGACCAUGGAAUCUACUUUCUCCCAUAUGGAAAAAUCUGCAGAAUUGCAGGCAAGUUUCUUGAUAGAAACAUCAAUGAAACUGAGUUUCACCUUUGCGCGUAGAGCGAUUUUCAUGGUUCAAAGACAUGUACGGUAAUUAUUGUCAUUCAAGGUUGAAGAAACAAGAGGGGUUCCUGGGUUAUCAGAAUUAUUCAGAGUGUAUGCAGGGUUGGGUGGGAUGAUGGUGGAUUGAGGUUCUUGCUCAGAUUGAUCAUCAUCGGAACCACCGUGCUCGGAUGCCAUAUUGAAGAUUAACUAUAGAUAUUUAUUCAUCUAUAUUACUCAUCAAAUAAAGGUUACAAUUGGUUAUUUAUAUAAGCUAUUGGACCUAAGAAAUAGUAAUAAACUAACUAACAUAAGAGAUAAAAGAGGAAACGAAAUAACAGCCUAAAUAAUAGCCUAUAAAAGUGGUUCCACCUCAACUAUUGGUCAUCGAUGAGAUUCGUACCACGGCGACAUCCAAGGAAGAUAUGUUUCUAGAGUACCUCUUUCAUGUGGCAAGUGAUAUCAGAUCGUUAAACAAAGAUCACACGGCGCUAGGAUUCCUAGAUCGCGAUAAGAUAAGUGGAGUCCCAAACAUGGAGUUGUCGUUGGUUAUAGAAAUUAUCGUCACUUAUCGCACUCUUACAAGAUUCCUUGUAGACGAUGAAAGUUCAUCUAGCAUCCUUUACGCUGAAACGUUAAGGCGAAUAAACCUCCAGCAACUAGAUCUGAAUUCAUACAAUGGUGGAGAUCUAUUGACCUUCAACAAUUUGAUAACUUGCCCUAGUGGAAUGUUAGAUUUGACCUGGGAAAGGAAGAAGACGAGAGGAUGGUAACCCUCUGCUUCUUGGUAAUUUCGUGAAGGAACGUCUUCAGUGUUAUUCUAGUAAGAUCCUUCGUCGUAAAGAAAGAGGCGAAACACUAGAAGUGUGCAUGAACAAUAUGACCGUAAAGUCUGGUCGAGAAAAGGUUCCUGAUUAACACCUCAAGCAGGCAUUCAAAAGACUCUGGCAGUAUAACAUGAGACUAAAUCCAGAGAAAUGCACAUUUGGAGUGAGAGUUGGCAAAUUCCUAGGUUUCUACCUAACGGAGAGGGGAAUUGAAACCAAUUCUGACAAGUGUGAAGUGGUGGUUCAUAUGAAUGUCUCAACCUUGAAGAAGGAGGUUCAGAAGCUCAACGGUGUGCUGACUACUUUAAAGAGGUUUAUUUCGAAAUCCGCCCAGCAUGUGUUGCCUUUCUAUAGCCUAUUGAGAAAGGAGGAAAAGUUUGAAUGGACACCUAAAUGUAAGAACAAAAUUAGUUCUACAAUAGAAUUCCAGGAUUUUGAUGAUAACAAAGGAUGAAACCAAAAAGGGCACCCUAACAAAAAGGGCACCCUAACAAAGGAGGAAAGGUUUAGUUUCCUCCAUAGUUCUAUCAUUUCAUUAUUUAUCAUGCCAUUAUUUUGAAUACUAGUUCCAAACUUCCUUUGCAACUAGUACAAACAUGAAUGCCUUUUCAAUUGUUCAUUUCAUAGAAUUAAUUACGAGAUCAUAAUUAGGGAAUUUUCAUAUUUCUAUUACUUGAAAUUUAUAUGUCCUUAUGUAAGUUUUCCAUGUCCCUCGUGAGAAACCCAAUCUUUCCCUUGCCUUAUAGGUUUAAUAUAAUACUUUGGGUCCAUUUUUUGUAAUUUUUUCAUAUUAAACUUUUGAACAUUGACCUAGAGAGAAUUUGAGGAUCCUUCUCGACCAUUAUAUUAAGAGUUUGAACAUUUGUUCUAUAAAAGUCAUUCUUACAAACUCUUUCACACAUGUCUACAAUGUAUGGGAGAUAAUUCAUUAAUUUGAGGAUCCUUCUCUACCGCUUGGCACGCCUUCUGUGCCCUGACACCCCUACGCUAGUAAGGGCAUGUUUAAAUGGGUUUGCAUGUCUGAUGAUGAAUGUUGAAAAGAAACCCUAGAUAAAAACCUAAUGUGAAUGAUACCACGUAGAAAUAUAGUCGUAAUUCAACACUCAAAAAAAUUAAAUAGACAAAUUAUAAUAAACUCUCUUCCUUGAAACAAUGAAUGAUUUUAAAAAAGGAAAUAAAAAUCAUAUAAUAAAGGAGUUGAUUAGAAUUCUUAAUAUCUGGGCUUGACCUAAUUCAACCUUUUUAGAAUUGAUUAGAAUUCUUAGUAUCUAGGCUUGUCCAAACAUAUGUUUAUCCCUUAUAUAUUUGUAAGGUGGAAGAUGUCAUAAUUGGACAUUUGGAGUGUCACUUAAGUGGCAUGAUAGAUGUAACUUUAAUACUUAUAACCCAAUAAAUUUUGGAUAGACUCCGAUACUAUCUUAAAAUUUAAUUUGAUACCAACUUAUAAACUUGUGUUCAAACUUAUCUCAUUCAAUGUGAGACUCUUGAUACAAAUAAUGUCAAUGAGAUCAUGACAUAUAUGAUUAUCAGAUGCUUAAACCAUGUUCUAUGUUAUAUUUGUUGUACGAAUGACUUCUAAGUCAAUUUAAGGAGAAUAUAUUAGGUCAGUUUUCUUGUGAUCAAAUUAUAAUUUACAAGAAUUACAAAGUGGUGAAACAACACGGAAGAGAAAGUGGAAUGAGCAGCUACUAGACAAUGAAAAUAAUGUUUCAUGGCAUUUUAUGAAGGCCUAAAAUGUUAAAAUUAAUGUCAUAGCUCUUAAUAUGAUUUUCUUAGUAAAAAAAAAAAGAAAACUACUGACAUUUUAUAUAUUCCUCUCUCGAUAAAUUAGUAUGUAUGUAUAUGUCCCUCAUAUAUUCAAGGCGUAUUAAAUUUUUCAUCAUAUAAAUUUUCACUUAAAAAGUGCCUCUAUAUUUUUAUUAAAAGAUAUUUGAUAUCUCUGUACCGUUAUCAUCGUAUUGUUUUAAUUUUUAUUAAAAAAUAUUUUAUAAUAUUUCUUUUUUUAUAAAUUAUUGUCGGUUUAUCAUUUACUUGCCAAGAAAAAGUAGAUUGUCAUUAUGAGUGAUAACUGACUUAAAUUGGUGUUGUCCCAGCUGUGAGGUGGUUGGUUGAUAUUCAAAAUAGAAAUAUUUUUGGCAGAGUAUGAUAAUUUAUGUGAAUAUUCCAUGUAAUAAACAAUUGAUAAUAUAAACUUUUCUUUUCUCUAUCCAAAUUUAGUUUAGUUUCCUCUUUGAUGUGCUUUUGAAGCCCUUUCAUUGACCAUAUUUUAUUUGUGAGAAUUUGACCUCACUGCCACUUCCAUGAAUUUUUUUUCCCCAAAAUGCCACCAUGUGAAAGUUAUAUCCUCAAAUGUCAUCUUUUUUGUCUUUUUAUGAUAAUAUUUUAAGAAUUUCUGGACCCUCCAUUCUAGAUUAUAGACACCCCAGAAAUGCGGUUGAAAUACGUCAUCUGAGAUAGAGCACUUUUUUUUUCUUUCUGAAUUUAUUUUAAAUGAUUAAAAUAAUUAUUUAAUAUUAAAUAUUAAUUAAAAUAUUAUAUUUAAUAUAAUUUUAUUUUAAAAAAAUAUUAAUAAAUUAAAUACUUUUUUUAGAUAAUAUUUUUAAUUAUUAUUUAAUAUUAGUAAAUUAAAUACUUUUUUAUAUAAUAUUUUUAAUAAAUAUUUAAUAUUAAUUAAAAAUUAAUAUUAAAAAUAAAAAUGAAUAAUUUUUUUUAACAAAUUAAAUAAAUUGUUACAGAAUAUUUUUAAAAAAUUUUAAAUAUUAAAUAAAAAAAUUAAUAUUUCAUAUAAUAUUAAUUAAAAUUGAUAUUACAAUGUUUACAUUCUUAAUAGUAUUAAAGUAUAAUUACAAAUUACAAGAAAUUAAAAAUAAAUUAAUUUCUACGUUGAUUGGGAUCUUCAUCGAAGAAAUGACUACCGGUUCCACAUCUUGCACGAACUCGAACCCGGUGACCACGACCUAAUGGUUGUGUUGAGGUAGGUAUAGGAGGGGUUGUUGUUAUGAACGGAUAGGCAGUGGUUUGAAAACUGGGUGAUUGUUCACGAAAAAUUUCGAAUGCUUCAAAAUUCUAGAAAUCCAUAUUAGGAGAAAAGUUGUUUAAUAUUUGUGUAAAUGAGGCGGGGUUUGGAUUUGAAGGUUCUAUGGUUGCGAUGUAAUAGUCGCUCACAUCAGUGGUUGUUGAUUGUUGAUGUGUAGUUGAACAAUCAAAGUUAGGUGGUGGGAUGGGUGUGCAGUUGUGACAGGAGAAUUGUUGGGCCUGAAAGGGCGACUUAGGCAAAAAAGAGCGUCCCGGUGGAUUGAAAAAUAUCGUCGAAACAUUCAACGGCGGAAGGGUUUAUUGUGUCGGAAGCUGAUCAUGAACUUGGGGUUAACGAUCCUUGGGAUUCCGUGGUCACGACCUGGUGAAGGAGGAGGCGGCUUUUUUUUUCGUCGUCCCAGAUUCACGGUUAUGGUGGUCCUUUUAUACUCACCCUGCUAGGGUUUUGAGUUGGCUUACUGCAAUCAAAAGGGGUAUGCUCUUGGAAGUGCUUUGCGGUGCACCAGUUUGUCUGUCUCAUUUGGUGUUUGAUCUAGAACAGGUAAUACGAACCAUGUACUUUCCUCUCUUAAAUUUGUCUCAAUUCCUUUUUGGAUCGCUGGUGAACUUUUACCGCCGGUAAAGGGCUAUUUACCGCUGUGAAUUUACCGAAAUAUUGGUUUGAUGUCUGCAGGAGAAAACGUCGAACUUGCAAGCAUGGCUUUGAACUAAACCGGUUUCGAUGUGAGAACGAGGUCCUGCUACGACCUGAAGUCUCACCUCUACGACUUCUUGGACUCAAACCAAAUAGAGUACGACUGUAACGGUGUGGAUCAGAUGAAGCUAACAGAACUUCUUCUCAUCUGAAGGAAAUGUUGAAAUUUGUUUUGUUUUACUGUUACAGGCUCUUGUUGGAAUGCUGUUUUGGGAACAGUUAAGGAAUCCACGGGUGUCACGGUUCUUCACACAGCCGUGGUGUUGGAUUGUUUUGGUUGAUGUUACCUACUUCUGGACUUCUGAUCUCUAUCUGUUGUAAGUCGUUCUCCAAACUCUCACGUCAACAAUUCUCCUGAUGUCCGAGGAAUCAGAAUCUCUGUAAACAGUCCCUACAAACUCAUAGUCUGCCUACUGUCAGUAUUGCAUAUCAUGAUCAUUCAUAUAUCAUGCAUAAAACAAAGAUUAAAUCAUGCAUGGUUCAAAAUGUACUUUGUACUCAUUCGUGUGGCCCCUUGGUCCCGUUGAUUGGUUGUUAUCUCUUGACCCAAAGACCAGUUGUCACUAGUAUCGUUUCAAAAGUUCAAAUCGUCGUUGGCAUCACUGUCAGUUUGUUUGUAAAUAUAUUUGUAAUUGAUAUCUGAAGUUUGGUUGUCGCCAACAUCAUUUCAAGUCCAACUGUUGUUGGCACCAAUCUGUUAAAAGCUGGUUGUAGUCCAUUGCUUACAGUCAAAGUCCAAUUGUUGUUGGCACCAAUCUGUUAAAAGCUUGUUGUAAUCCAUUGCUUACAGUCAAAGUCCAAUUAUUGUUGGCACCUAUCCGUUAAAAGUUGGUUGUAAUCCAUUACUUACGGUUAAAAGUCCAAUUGUUAUUUGGCACGUACAGAGAGUUUAGUUACCCUGUCUUUCCUGAUGGUUCCGUGAAAGUCAUGUAUGACUCAUCAUCUUGAGGAAUUCCCAGAAGCUUGGAGGUUUUUCGUGUUAGAAAACUCCAAUGAUGUUGGUUUUUGUUUGAUUUCUUUGUAAAGAAUUAUCAUAGCCUUUUGCGAGGAUGAUCUACUUAUAAGAAGACUCCCGUUUAUCUUUGUUUUUCAUAAAUUCCUUGUUAGGCAUCUCCAAAAUCUUUGAUUGGAUGAAUUUCUUGUGAGAAAUCUCCAGAAUUGUCAGAUGUAUUCUAAAGUGUCAGGUCAUGUAUGAACCUGUUGAUGAAACUUGCUUUGUAUGUUUUCCAAUAUUUUCAGGUCAUGUAUGAACCUAUGGAUGUAUUUUCUUUGAAUUUUCCAGUGUCGUUGGGUCAUGUAUGAACCUGUUGAUAAAACUCCCUUUGAUUCUUUCCCAAGUGUCGUCAGGUCAUGUCUGAACUUGUGAGUGAAACUUUCUUUGAAUAUCCAAAUGUUGAGGACACAUAUGAACCUAUUGAUUAAACAUUCCUUGGUUUUCUAAUAUUCUUAGGUCAUGUUUGAACCUAUUGUUGAAAUGCUUUGAAUUUUCCAAUGCUGUUAGGUCAUGUAUGAGCUUGUUGAUGGAACUUUUCUUUGUACGUUUUUCAGUAUUGUUAGGUCAUGUCUGAACCUGCUAUCAGAACUUCUUGAUAUUCCCCAGCAUUGUCAGGUCAUGUAUGAACCUGCUGUGGAGCUUUCAUUCCAGUAUUACCAGGUCAUGUAUGAACCUGUUUUGAAGAAUCUUUCUAUAUGAUUGUUUCAGUGUUAUCAGGUCAUGUAUGAACUUGUUGUAGAAAUUUUUCUUAUUCGGGUUUAGUAAGUCAUGUGUGAACUUACUGCCGAAAUCUCUUGUAUUCUAAGUGUCGUUCAUCGAAUUUCACUUUGAGUUCUCUCUAUUGUGUGUCUGACUCUCCAGUAGGAUUGUUAUCCCCAGCGAUUUUGUUUUACCCUAUUGUGUCUGUGUCUCUGUGGGCCAUCAGAGUUCCCCACAGAUUGGUUUGUCCGGUAACAUCUCCUGUUAAGGAUUCACCAUGUCCCUAACGGGUAAAUUCAAAAAAAUAAAGAAUCAUGCAUCCAUGUAUAUCAUAUCAUAACAUUUGCAUUUUUCAGGAUCAAAAUCUGGGUCUCCAUAGUAUUUAACCAUCCCCCAAUGCGAUCCGAUGAAAAGUGUUGUUUCAUUUUCCUCUGGUGGAGGAUGUUUAAAUAGGGGCAACUGUCAUACCCUGAUUUUGGUCCUGAAAUUUUUUUCAUCCAUCAUUCAUUUUCUUUCCUCCUCAUGACCAUUUCAUCCGGUCAUGAAUCUAUCCACCUACACUGAUUGUUUAGACAUUGCCACUACUUGCCAUUCCAUGACUAUUAGAUUUUUACCUCUCUAUUUGGCUUUAGAUGUUUGAUAUAUUUUGAUAGAAUCAGUUGGAAUGUCAUGACUUUCAUUCUCAUGUCUAAAUUCAAUCCAUGUUUUGUCUCUCUCAUAGAACAUCAUUUUCCCUUUCGAUCUUAAUUCAAAGAGAUUCCAUCUAUAUUCCAUCUCAUAUUUCUAUAUAUCAUGUUCAAAUUUGCAUUCACAUUUUUUCAUUCACAUUGGAAAGCUUCCAUUCAUUCAUACGCAUACUCAUUCAUGUUUCAGCUACUUCAUUCAUUUUUAUCACAUCCACCCAUUCACAACCGUUAUUUUCAUGAAAGCAUCAUUUUCUUGCUCAUUCACAAUGAGCGUUUUGUUCAUUUCAAGUCCUAAAAGGUUCUAAACUUGUAACCUUCUACACACUUCAGUGUGUCUGCUGCAAAGAAAGAUUGUGUUCUGCUCUGCAUCCUGGAAAUACAAGAAGUUAAUGAAAGAAUGUGAUGAGUUUUCUCAAACACACUGCUGCUUUGGAAGUUUUGGUGAGUGAUAUUGAAGCAGAGGAUCCACAACAAGUUAUUGACCGCACUCACAGUCGGCAGGAAACGACAAUGUGUUUCAUUAAUUGGUUGAUGGAUGAGUACUCAGCAUUUAAUGACAUUAUUCAACCAAUUCAAGUUGUGUUUCAUUAAUUGGUUGAUGGAUGAGUACUCAGCAUUUAAUGACAUUAUUCAACCAAUUCAAGUUGCCGUGUAUGAGCUGAAGUUUGGGUUAUCACUUGUUCUAUCAAGCACUUUAGAAAAAAAAAGAAUAUUUGAGAACAACUCCAAUCUCUCGAUCUCUCUCUAAAUGCAGACAAACCAAUGCUUCAAAAAAAAUCAACAAAAACUCUCACCUUUCUCGCUUGUUCUUCAGACAGCUCCUCUUCGAUACGAAUCUCCUGCUCCCACGAAUCUUCUAUGCUUCGUCAAUCGCUGGGGGUCGCCAAAAGCCGUCAACGACGGAAGGGUUUGUUGUGUCGGAAGUUGAUCGCGAGCUUGAGGUUACCGAUCCUUGGGAUUCCGUGGUCGCGACCUGGUGGAGGAGGAGACGGCUCUCUUUCUUUCGGUGAAAAAUUAUUCGGGUUUUUUCCGCGCUCCCUGAACAGUGGCCGCUCCCUCUUUUAUACUCACCCUGCUAGGGUUUUGAGUUGGCUUACUGCAAUCAAAAGGGGUAUGCUCUUGGAAGUGUUUUGCGGUGCUCCAGUUUAUCUGUCUCAUUUGGUGUUUGAUCUGGAAUAGGUAAUACGAACCAUGUACUUUCCUCUCUUAAAUUUGUCUCAAUUCCUUUUUGGGUCGCUGUUGAACUUUUACCGCCGGUAAAGGGCUAUUUACCGCUGUGAAUUUACCGGAAUAUUGGUUUGAUGUCUGCAGGAGAAAACGUCGAACUUGCGAGCAUGGCUUUGAUUUUUUUGUGUUGAUGUUGUGGUGAGUGUUAAAAUGAUGAAAUUGCUUGUUCGAGUAAUAGUUGGGUUAGUUUUGUUACAACUGUUGAGACUGCUACCUCGGCCAUGUUGGUUUGGUUUGGGAUUUUGGUCUGUUUAUGGUGCUCAGUGCUCUCACAUGACAGCUCAUACGAUACGAGACUCCUUUGAUCAAGUUUCUUUCUUUGGUUAGUAUCUGUUUCUUCUUACUUGUCUUUAACCCCGCCUUUCAUGUUUAUUGCCGAGUCGGUGAAUUUAUGAAUAAUUGUUGCAUCUGAUGUUUGUGCAGAAUUCUUCCGGCUUGCAAGACCACGGAUCCUCUUCCAACAUGAACAUUGAAAUUGGAGGCAGGUUUAUCUCAUCCUCACUCUUAAAACAGAUGAAUAAGCCUCUUGUUUGGAACCGUGGAGAGUUGGAUCCAGAGAUAGAUUGGAAAGCCUUUAUUACAUACAUCAAAAUGCACUAUCAACUCCCUAGUAAUUUCAAGUCAUUUCCUUAUCUGUUUUAUUUUCUUCAGUUAACAUUGCAGGCAUGUUUUUGGUAUUCAACUCCUCAAUUAUCUUGUGCAGAAAAUAUGAAGAUUUUGAUAUACCAGUAACAAUAGUGACAUGAUAGUGGCAGAAUAUCAGGUUGCCUACUAACACAACAACUUGCAUUUGAAAUGGAUACUAAUACCAACCAAUCUUCAACUAAAAUUCAAUCUUGAGCCUGCAACUAGUUGUAUGGGUAACAGAAGAGACCGAACUAUUAAAAUCUCUGGGUUGUCUUACCACAGCUUCUGUUAUGGGUCACAAUACCUCUUGGUCUUCUACCGAUUGCUCUACCCGGGUGAUUGUCACGACUACGCUGGUCUGUGACAGUAAAUUGUCACUGCAAUGGUAGAAAAGAGCUGCUUGUAGCUCACUUGCUGAAAUAUCGUAAGUAUGUUAAGAAUGUAUUAUGGAGUUUCAGGUACUCCUCUAUACAACAACUUUAACCUGACUUAUCAAAAAUGAAAUAUUAAUGGGAGGAAUCCGUCUCUAUGUUCCAUCUCACAGAAAAAUAAACAAUCAUACAAUCAUCACAUUAUGUUCCAUUCAGUUCCCGAGUUAACAUAUAUUGCGUCUUGGAUCAGUUUUUGGUUCGGCAAGUGACAGUUCCUUCUCCGACUCAGCCAUUGUCUCCUCUCACAAUUCCAUUUUUGGUGCAGGAAAUAUGCUACAUGCAUGAUGAUUGCUCGCCGCAUAUUGUUCACCGAGACGUGAAAACAAGUAACAUUCUUUUGGAUUCAUAAUUUAACGCAAAAAGUGUUGAUUCGUCUCGCCGGAUACUGAUCAAAUCAGAAAGAACUUGCCACCAUCAUCUGUGGCUGGCGCAUUUGGAUAUACUGCUCCAGGAAAACAAUUUCGAAUUCCCGUUUUCUCAUAAAACUCGACUAUCUUAAGUUAUUAGAUGUUUAUUUCGUGUAUGAAUUGCAGAAUAUGCUCAAACAAUUAGAGUCAAUGAGAAGAUAGAUGUUUACGGCUUUGGAGUAGUUCUAUUGGAACUGACAACUGGAAAAGAAACUAAUCUAAAAACUGCCAGCCGGUAGACCAUCAAUGAAGGAAGUCUUGAAGAUAUUGAUCGGUUGCAAAGAUCCACAAGCAAGCCAAUGCAGAGAAGAUUGUUGAUAUUCAUGAUGAUGCUCCACUCCUUAAGAACUUUGAUAAUGUGAUAAAAUGCAUGCACGUUUGUAACGAACUUGGAACUGAGUUUUUGACUAACAGUUACAGCUCUGUGUUUUCUCUUUUAAAAUGCAACAUUCACUUUAGACUUUAAAGAAAAUAAAUCCACAACUUUGGAUACAUUACCUAUCUGGAUAAGCCAUGAAGUGUGACUUUAUAUAGCAUUGUAAUCUUGCAAGGCAAUGACUUCAGACAUACAACAACUGUAUAACGUAAACAUGCAAUUGUAAUCUUAUAAAGCAAUGACUUCAUUUCGUUUGCACUGAACUGUAUUAAUCUCUUGGCAAGAAACAGCCGGCUCUGAAUUCUUUGAUUGAUCAGUUAGUUACUAUUUAGAAAACCAUUGUUAUCAUAAACCAGACUGAUGUUUUCAUGCCCAACUUUUCUCAAAUAUUCUUUUUUUUCUAAAGUGCUUGAUAGAACAAGUGAUAACCCAAACUUCAGCUCAUACACGGCAACUUGAAUUGGUUGAAUAAUGUCAUUAAAUGCUGAGUACUCAUCCAUCAACCAAUUAAUGAAACACAUUGUCGUUUCCUGCCGACUGUGAGUGCGGUCAAUAACUUGUUGUGGAUCCUCUGCUUCAACAUCACUCACAAAACUUCCAAAGCAACAGUGUGUUAGAAAACUCAUCACAUUCUUCAUCAACUUCUUGUAUUUCCAGGAUGCAGAGCGAACACAACUUUCUUUGCAGCAGACACAUUGAAGUGUGUAAAGGUUACAAGUUUAGAACCUUUUAGGACUUGAAAUGAACAAACGCUCAUUGUGAAUGAGCAAGAAACUGAUGCUUUCAUGAAAAUGACGGUUGUGAGUGGAUGGAUGUGAUAAAAAUGAAUGAAGUAGCUGAAACAUGAAUGAGUAUGCGUAUGAAUGAAUGGAAGCUUUCCAAUGUGAAUGAAAAAAUUUGAAUGCAAAUUUGAACAUGAUAUAUAGAAAUAUGAGAUGGAAUAUAGAUGGAAUCUCUUUGAAUUAAGAUCGAAAGGGAAAAUGAUGUUCUAUGAGAGAGACAAAACAUGGAUUUAAUUUAGACAUGAGAAUGAAAGUCAUGACAUUCCAACUGAUUCUAUCAAAAUAUAUCAAACUUCUAAAGCCAAAUAGAGAGGUAAAAAUCUAAUAGUCAUGGAAUGGCAAGUAGUGGCAAUGUCUAAACAAUCAGUGUAGGUGGAUAGAUUCAUGACCGGAUGAAAUGGUCAUGAGGAUGAAAGAAAAUGAAUCAUUGAUUAAAAAAAAUUCAUGACCAAAAUCAGGGUAUGACAGCAGUUAUGUGGGGGCGUAGGUAUCGUUGUUGUUGGGUUUGAGAAGGGUAGCUUGUAGGGUUUUGUUGUGUUUGAUAUGGGUAAUUAGGUUGUGUUUGUUGUGUUUGUGUGUGGUAGUUUGGUUGUUGGUAUGAGGUGUGUUGUGUUUGGGUUUGGUAGUUUGGUUAAUGGUAUUGGGUGGAUUGUGUUUGUUGUUGGAAGGGUUGUGUAUAUUGAGUUUGUGGUUCAUAUUGGGUGGAAGUCGGUGUUUGGGUAUAAUGUUGGUCGGGAGGGAUUCGUGUUUGGGGGCUUGUUAAUUGUGGUCGUGGUGGAGUCGACAUAUGUGAUGUGGAACCGUGCUGACGGAGGUCAAUAAGUAGUUGUUCUAUUGACAUGUAUUGUAAUGGAAGAUGUCGAAGCCAAUUAAAAUAUUCUUUGGUUGGCUUCAUUUCUCCCUGAAAUGUUACCCCAGUCAAACACAGUUGGUGUCUGUUUUCCCAAAGUUGUUGUUCAUUUCUAUUCAACAUUGUGUAGCUAAAAUUUCAUGACUCUUGCAUAGUCAUGGUAUGUUGUUCUUGGAGGCAUUUAAGAGGAUUGGGUAUGUCUUGAUAAUACCCAAAUUGCAAUUUUACCCUAUCCGAUUGAUGCAUUUCAACGUUCUAAAAGCACAAGAUAGGUGUUGUUGCACUCCAAAUCAAAUGAUCAUCAUUCUCCAAUGGGGGGUAUCCAAGAUAUGCCCUCCAUAUAAACUAUUAAUGUAUAAAAAAUAUAUGUUAGUGUACCAUUUAUUGUUUAAGUGAUUUGAAAUAAAAAAAAGUAGAGAAACCAAUAUUACGUUGGUCGACAACAUGUGAUCGAACAUGACACAGUAACCGUCAAGGUAAUGACGAGGAUUUUAAGAGCAAAUUUUUUUCUUGUUGGUCGAAGCCCAUCUAAAAAACUGAGAUUAAAUUGAAAAAUUAACAUUUUGAAACACACAAAUGAAAAAUAAUAGAUUUACAUGAAAAAAUUAAGACUUACAUUGAUGCAUAUGGGUGAGUUGGAACGGCUGAACUAAUUGGUGCUAUAAAUGGGAAUCGUGUAAAUCCCCAUGUUUGUAGCAGAAUAACACAUCCUCACAUACCAUCAACAUCAAUGUUAACUGCUUUACACAUUUCCCUAUAUAGAAAUGCUAACACAACCGAUCCCUAACUAUAUUCACCAUACUGAUGCAAAUCCUGAACAAAUGGUAUCCACAUACUAACAUACUAUAUACAUCUUUGGACGAUUUAUCAGGGAAUAAGGUUAGUGCAAUUCACAAUAUAUUAUAAAUUCUUGUAUAUAUAAUGAGUUCGUCAUGGGAGGAAUUUCAGAUAUUUCAGUUUCUUCUACUAGUAUUUGUUUUAACCAAGAGAUACAGACACGUCUACCUUUAAUGUGAUUUUCUGGUGGUUGACGGCUCAAAAAUGUGGUCCAAGCACUUGCACUAAUCUCGGAUGGUCCUACGACGGCUCUACCAUUGACGCGUAGACCCAAAAGCAUACUUACAUCUUCUAAAGUUAUACUACACUCAUCGGUUGGAAAGUGAAAAGUAUGUGUUUCGGGUCUCCAUCGUUCAAGUAGAGCAUAUAUAAAACUUGUAUCAAUUACGAUAUCCUUCAUUUUUGCGACGUUUGCAAAACCGGAGGUUUCCAAAAAAGGACGUAUAAUAUGUAGGGCAUCAAUUAACUUAUGGUUUUGGGUUCUAAAUGCUCUUUCGGGUUCCACCUGAUACAUGCAUUGAAAACGGUAAGCAAAACAAUAAAUACAUAAUAUAUAUUUAUUUAUAAAAAUAUAACAAAGAAUAUGUUAAACAAUAAACAAAACAAUAAGUAUCACUUACUAAUGCUUGAAUGUUAUCAUUAGUUCCCCUAUGUUUAUCACCCAUCCAAAAAAAAGGAGUUUGAGACACACUGAUAGAAGUUUGAGUUGUGGUAAAAAUGAAUUGAUGAUAAGUUGCAAAAGAUAGAAUUUUGAGUUGUGGUAAAAAUGAAUUGAUGAUGGAGUAUUUAUAGAUAGAUUUUCAUGAACUGUUCUAGUUAGGGUUUUUACAUAAUGAUACAAUUUCAUCUAUUGUUCUACGAAAACUAACAUACAACUCUAAUGGGCCUAAGUUAAUGAAAUUUAAAUAACUGUCAAACAUUUCACGUACAUCUUUGUCAUUACAAAUUUGGAUUUCUUCAUACAAUAGCAUGCCAUUUGAAUUGAUGUAUGGUUUUCGAUAACGCAAAGCAACGAUUUCUCUCUCAAAUUAGGUAACAUGACGUAUCUGAGUUUGGAUGUCGUCAAAACCGAAGUUUUCCAUUAGUCUGACUGGUAUUGGACCAGAAAUGGUAUUGCAAGAAUCAAUUUUUUCAUAUGAUAUUGGCUUAAUAGUGUAUACUAGACCAAUUAGGAGAGCCAUGUAGAUAGCUUAUGCGUUUAGAAUUGUUCAAGCCUGACUUUUAUACUGUGUUUGAUAAGACCAAACAUGAAAUAUAUAUACAACUUCCAAGAUGGAGGACUCAUAAAUUACUUUUUCAGAAUUUUGUUUGUGUCCUCCAUGCAGGAUGGUGCAUCCCAACAACAUCUCUUUUCACGUGCAUGGCUCCUUCGUCCAAGAUGGCGCACCCCAAGUAAGUUAUUGCAGGAGUCCUUCGUCCAAGAUGGUGCACCAUAACUGAAGUAUUUUCACGUGCAUGGGCCCUCCAUCUCAAACGGAAGACCUCUUCUAACUUUUCAGAAGCUAGUUCAGCUACGGUAUCUCAAACAACGGACGUCUUCUGCAUGGCUUACACGUUCACUUUUGAACAUUCGCUGUAUAUAAUUGAACCCAUUAUUCAAAAUUAAUCAGACACACAAUGGCUCAAAAUAAUAUCAUAGUUCAAGUCCAUUAUAAUGGAAGUACUUUUCCAAAUGUCAAUGUCGGGGUCAUAUUUCAAAACACAAACAUACGACAACUCAAAAUACACCCCAGAUCCAAUUACACGCAUUUAAAAGAAAGACUCGAAAAUAAGCUCCAACAACAAAUAUCUGAUAUUUAUUAUCGAUAUCCAUGUUUUAAUGACGGCGAUGGCAAUGUCACUUAUACAACAACAAAAAUAGAAGACGACAAUGACGUCUGAUUAAUGCUCCAGUGCCACACGACUUAUAACUUGUCAAGUGUGAUUGAAUUAUAGGUGCGUUUACUAGAACACAAUGAGGGUCCACAAGUAACGUAUCUGACGCAAUCUUCUCAAUCCCGUCAAUAUCAAAUGAGUCAGUAGACUAUGUUAUCAUUGACACCAGAUCCAACAACCACUCAAAAUGAACCUUUUUCCCUAGAUGAGGAUGUCGGGGAUGAUAGUGACUAUGAAGAAGUGCGGUACGUAAAUACGCAAAAUCUUUUCACUGGGGAAAGUGACAAAUCUGACAACGAUAUCCCUGUGGUGCAUCAACAUGAAGUCCUGGACCUAUAAAAUCCACCACUACACAUGAGAAAUACCACAUACUUACAUGAUGAAGAUGCGUCAACAUUUGAAACCACAGAGCCACUUCAGAUAUAGGGGGGUUGCUUGGCAUGGAAUUUAAUAGCAAAGAAGGAUGUGUAUUAGCCAUUCGGCAAUUUCACAUAAAAAAUUAUCUUGAUUAUUCUGUUUAUAAGUUUGAUUCUAAAUGACUCAUAAUCAAGUGUGUUAACAAGGAAUGCACCUUCAAAUGCAGAGCAUAUGCGGGGAAGGGGAGUGAUAUGUGGGUGAUCACUAAGGUUAGUGGUCCGCACACCUGCAUGUCUUCCACAAUGUCUCAAGAUUAUAGAAAACUUGACUCUAAUCUAAUAUGUGACAGUAUCAAAUCUCUAAUCAACAGUGAUGCCUCGCUAAAAGUGAAACACAUCAUCGCUCAUAUUCGGGAGACAUUCAACUACACAAUCUCUUGCAAAAAGGCAUGAAUUUCAAAGAUUAAGGAUAUCGCUGCUAUUUAUGGAAACUGGGAGACUUCAUACAAAACGACCUGCCCCAAUGGUUGUUGGUCAUGAAAACAUUUCUGUUAGGUACUACAAUAGAACUCGAGACUUUUCUUGUAUUUUCAAAUGAAGGGACACAAAUUAGUGAUGCUAGAGUUUUUCACCGUCUUUUUUGGGCUUUCCAACCAUGCACCAAGGGUUUUUCAUUCUGCAAACCGGUGGUUCAAGUAGAUGACACAUGGUUAUAUGGAAAAUACAUGGGAACUUUGUUAAUGGUUGUGUCAUAAGACGGAAAUAGGAACAUAUUUUCAAUAGCUUUUGCAUUGGUAGAGGGUGAAACUGGAGAAGCAUGGAGUUUUUUCUUGAGAAAUCUUAGAAUGCAUGUUACACCACAACCCAACAUAUGUUUGAUAUCAGAUCGACAUGAGUCAAUAAAGUGCCUAUAAUAACCCGGAUAAUGGUUGGAAACACCCUUCCUCAUCAUACGUCUAUUGCAUCAGACAUAUAGCGCAAAAUUUUAUGAGGGAAUUCAGAGAUAAGGAACUUCGAAAAAAAGUUGUUAAUAUGGGUAUUUUCCUAAACAUAUCUUUGUUAACAUAUCUAACAGUAACUUCUAUAUACUAAUUUAUUUUUCAUUUUCAUACACAGGGUAUGCAUUAAACGAGGCAACAUAUGAAUACUACAUGGGAGAGAUAUGUAAAGUUAACAUAGAAGCGUUAAAAUGGGUAGACAAUAUUCCAAGAGAAAAAUGGACGAGAUCAUUCGAUGGAGGGAAACGAUGGGGUCAUAUGACUACCAACCUUGUUGAAUCAAUGAACUUAAUUUUAAAUGCCACACACAACCUACCUAUUACUGCUUUGGUAAAAUCAACAUAUUAUCGAUUGGGCACACUAUUUGGGAAAAGAGGACAUGACUGGACUAAAAUGUUGGGUUCUGGCCAACUAUACACUGAUAACUGCAUGAAGGGAAUUAAGGAGGAGGUAAUCAAAUCAAAUAGCCACACAGUUAUACAAUUUGAUCGUCAAAGGUUCUGCUUCCUGGUCCAAGAAACUGUGCAUCAUAAUGAGGACAGGCCGACUACCUAUUACAACAACGACCUUCGGAAUCUAACGUGUGACUGUGAAAGAUUCCAAAUGUUUCAUGUCUCUUGCUCACAUAUUAUUGCAGCGUGUUCAAGCAUAAGACAAUAUUAUUUUGUGCAUAUAGGUGAUGUGUUCAAAGUUGUAAACGCAUUUAAGGUCUACGAGGAGAGUUUCCUCGGGAUCCCGACCGAAACAACUUGGCCGCAAUAUGAAGGUGACACGCUUUGCCACAAUGACAUCAUGCUGAGAAAAAAGAAAGGUCGCCCAAACAGUUUCCGGAUUAGAACUGAAAUGGACAAUGUUGAAAAAGAAAAAAGGAGGUGUAGUAUUUGUCGAGAAAUUGGACAUAUGCGCAGAAAAUGUCCAAACAGGCCUGACCCUUCUACUUAGUUAUGUUUGAAGUUUUAGUCUAUUCAAUCAUCAUUAUAUUUCGUGUAUUUUCUUUUUCAAUAACAACUUUUAUUUAGAGCGUAACAUUUUCGUCUACAACACAUGAAAGGUGACAAAAUAAUAACAACUUCAAAUAAAGAUAAAACACAACAACUAUUCCAACACGUUAUAACAACUAAUCACUCCAACACCUUUUAUCAUAUUAUCAUAUUAAAUGACAACAGCUAAAACAAGUGGAUCUUCAACGCCUCGACUAACUUCUUCACUAUGCGCAGAAAACAUACAAGUAACAUCCAGAUCAUUUUCUACAUGAUCCCAAUAAUGCAUGUAUGUACCAUCUGGGAUAGCAUGCGUCAGAGUUAUGUAAGGACAAAAAUAUAUUAUACAUUUAUGUACGAAAUAUAUUAUGCUUUAAAUUAUAUGAAAUAUUAAAAUUUUUAUUUAAUAUUUAAAAUUUAUUAAAAAUAUUAUGUAACAAUUAUUUAAUUUGUUAAAAAAAAUUUAUUCAUUUUUUAUUUUUAAUAUUAAUUUUUAAUUAAUAUUAAAUAUUAUAUAAAAAAGUAUUUUAUUUAUUAAUAUUAAAUAAUUAUUAAAAAUAUUAAGUAAAAAAGUAUUUAAUUUAUUAAUGUUUUUUAAAUUAUAUUAUAUUUUAAUUAAUAUUUAAUAUUAAAUAAUUAUUUUAAUCAUUUAAAAUGAAUUCAGAAAAUUAUAAAUAAAAAAGUGUUCCAUCCCAUAUGGCGCACCCCAACAGCACUUUUGGGGUGUACGCCAUCUAGGAUGGAGGGUCCUGAAAAUUCUUAAAAUAUUGCCAAAAAAAAAUAAAAAAGAUGACAUUUGAGGAUAAUAUUUUCACAUGGUGACAUUUUGCGGAAAAAAAAUUGUAGAGGUGUUAAUCUUGUCAAAUUCUCUUUAUUUGUCUCUGCUCAUUUCCCUUUAACUGUGUUUUAUGUUUAAUGCAGUUAUUAUUUGUUGUAUUUAAAAAAAAUUCCAUGUCAAAUGCCCCUAAAAGAGUUGGGUCAGAUUUCUUUGACUAUUACUCAUCUAAAGUAGUAAAUCUAUUGUCUCGAGAUCAUAAUGUUUUGCCUGUCGCAACCCAAUUAUCUGAGGUACCACAGAAUAAAUGUGGUGGAGGAGGAAAGAACCUUGUUAAUCACAAUUACAAUUUUCUGGUUAAUCACAGUUAUCACAGAGUUGAGCUCUCGGACUUUGAAAAGGACAGAUUAAAGUCACUGCUCAGAUAGAGUGCAUUUACUCUUUCAUCAGAAGUUGAUGAGGUAUGUCAUGAAUCUUGGUCCUGUUUGGUUGUUUGUUACUAUAAAUGUUGUCACUGUCAGCAUGGUAAGUGUAGCUACAUUUGACAUUUAUGGAAAAUAGAUGUGUUGCUGACUGGAAACAUAAUCAGGUGGUGAGAAGUAAAACAUUCCUUGAAUCUUACAACAAUGACAUCCGAUGAAGUACGAACAUCUUUAAGAGCAGGUGUGUCGCGGUGUCCGACACACGUCAGUGUUGGACACUUGUAUGACACACGUACGACACGUAUCGGAAAAGUCAAAGAAGUGUUGAAAAAGUUAGACAAGUGUCCAUUAAAAAAUGGUUUUUUAUUUAUUUCGACAUUCUUUGAAUCAAAGUUGACACUCGUAUGACAUUCAUAACACAUGUUAGACAAUUCGGACAAGUGUUUCACACAAAAAUUAUUAUUUUUCUUUGCUUCAACAUACCUUUACAUAUUUUGGAUAAAUCUCAACAAAUUUAAAAUGCUUAAACAUAUAUUUAAGCGAUGUUAUCAAUAAAGAAUUAAAGAAAUUAAUUUCUAUUACAAUAUUUUUAACUUUUUAAAGCAUAAAUGGAUAAAUAAAGCUCAAAUACUCUUUUAUAUAUAUCGGUAUUGGUGUCCUAUAUUUUAACAUUAUCGGUGUCGGAGUGUCCGUGUCGUGUCCAUGUGUCUGUGUCGGACUCCGUGUUUCAUAAACUGCAAAUUCCUUCUAAAAGGCAAAAGGACUAGGCCCGGCCUUGCAACAAUGAUAUGCACUAAAUAUUCUCUUUCUUUCAUUUAUUCUUUCUUCUUAAAUUAUAUGACAUAGUUAAUUGGAUCAUUGUGGGACGGAAGAGUAUAUAAUAUCCUUUUACUAGGCCCGGCCUUGCAACAAUGAUAUGCACUAAAUAUUCUCUUUCUUUCAUUUAUUCUUUCUUCUUAAAUUAUAUGACAUAGUUAAUUGGAUCAUUGUGGGACGGAAGAGUAUAUAAUAUCCUUUAACUUGUGUUUCCUUUGUUGUCUUCAUAGUGGAGUCCUUUUCCCGUCCCUUUGUAAUGCAACUCAAAAAUCGAAUCAUUGUACUGUAACAGUGAGAUAUAGUACAAGCUUUCCAACCGAUCUCAAAUAUCUCUCUGGAUCAGAAUAAGCCUCUUCUUGGCUAGGGAGCAAUUUUUUAUUUGGACCCGCGGGGCUAUCAAUUGGUAGAUAGCUCUUGAAAACAAUUUGUAGAUCAUACAAAAACUUUUAUUUACUUUAUUUUAUCUUUUGUAUAAAAAUAACUUUUACAUAAAUUCUUAUCAUGAUAAAUGCUUAUGUUAUACUUAUGUUAUCCAAACAGAACCAUGGUAACAACAACUAACAACUUAUAGAAGCUUAUGGUAUAAGCUACUUGAGGAUACACGAGCUUUGGCAAACAAACUGAAAACAAUGAAUCCAAAUAUAGAAUACUGGCAGAAGAUAUUUAAAAGUAUGGUUGUGUUUUUGCCUAAAAUUGCAACACAAUGAUUUUCAUUCUUCAUCCAUUUUUCUUAAUGUUUAGAUGAAGAAUGAUCUUCCGUUCUUGUUGGAGACUGAUAGUGUGGAGGUUAACAAUUUCAACAUCAUGAAUAAAUAAUAACAUAUCACAUUUCACCUAUGAAAGUAUUGCUAUUAACCGAAUUCUACUUUCACAACAAACAAGCCUCUAGUUCAAUUAUCAUGUAUUGGCUUAAAAUUUCUAUAAGCAAUAACUGCAUAAAAGGGAUCUGACCCUGAAAACAAUCCAAAGAGCUUCAUGAUCCAGCCAACCGGUGAGUUUUCUUCAUCAUUAGCUGCUGGAAGCUUUCUAAUUACCUCUGGCUCUGUGAAACCUUCCACUGAUUGGAAAUACUGAACCACAAACUGAACCCUACUGUAACCUGUUCCUUCCCUCCAUGCACUUAUGGCUUUCUCAUAAAACAUUCUGUUGCUAAAACUCACUAUGAACACCCCUCCCGGUUUUAGCAACCUAAACACCUCUGCAAAUACCUGUGAAUUUUCUCUUUAUUAGUGAUGUUCAAUUGUUCAUCAAUAUUAAUCAAUUACUAUAUGGAAGUGUUUUUUUUUUAAUGUGUUACCUUUUCUGGUUGUUGGAGAUACUGCACACUGACAGUGCACAGAACUGCAUCAAAAGAACAGCUCUCAAAUUCAAACAAUUGAUCUUUAUUAAGAUCCUUUAUAACAAAGUAAUCCAACCUUGGAUUCUUUGCAAGCUCUUGUGCAUUCAUCCCAUGCCCAACUACUCUUUUGUAUUUGACAUCAUUCGGUAGAUGGCUAACCCAAGAGCUCAUGAGAUCAAGAAUUUCAGUGUCGGGUCUUAACCUUUCUCUGUAAAGAUUUGUUAGUGUAGAAAUGAAUCCAUCAUCGACAUGAGUCACAAGGCGUGGAUACGCAUAAAACUCUUUGUCUUGGUAAAUGUUGAGUUUGGUUCUACCUUCUUGUGUUAGAACAAGACGUUUAAUUUUGCCUGCUGAUGAUUGUUGAUUGGUUUGGUUGUUUUGGUUUAAUGUGCUAACUAUUUUGUUUGGAGUUUUGAGAUGAAGUGCAUAGAUGGAUUGCAUGGAUUGCAGUUUGGUUUGCAUUAUUGGAGACUUGGGUGAAAAAAGGGCAUGAAUGAACUAACUUGAAUCAAUCCAAAACAAAAAUUUAAUUUUGUAUAUCAUUAUAUCAUGUGUAUUCCUUGAGAUAAGAAAUCAAUGGAUGUGAAUCAUAUAGGGUUUACUAGUUUUGGGGCCUCAUAUGAAAUUAAAGAAUCUCUUGGUUGACCUGCAUCCCUUAUUUCUUGAAAUUUCUUCACUAAAUUUUAUUUUAUUUUAUUUUAUUUUAUCUUAAAGUAUACUUUUAGACAUGAUUGAUCUCAAAAUGUUAUAAUUGAAGUGAUUAAUGUACUUUAGUUAAAAAAUAAUUGAUAUGAGGCAAUUGAAUUUGUAUACUAAUUCUAGAAAAAAUUUGUCAAGUUAAAUUUCAAGAUCCAAGACCGGUCUACUUAUGAUUAAAAUGUAGAUUUGAAAUUGACCUGAUAAAACUUUUCUCUUCGAGUGUUGUUAAUGGUGAUAAAUCUAAGGACAAACUCCUUUACGUAGGUCUCCGAGCUUUGUCUGAAGGUGAAGAUGUACUUGUAAACACUUUGACGAUCAAGAAUAUUUCGUGCGCCUUUAGGACAAGUGUAUCUUCUAGUCUAUUUUGUUUAAAGGCUUUGGGUAACCUAGUUUCCUGUAAGCAGAAGGUCCAAACCAGAACAAUUUCCCCCAAGUUAGGACUGACGAAGCCGGAGCAUGGAUUUGUCCCGAGACUUCUUUGAAACGGAUUGACUCAUCAUGAAUGAUGACAAUAAUUAUGGCCUUUAAGAAGUUACGGUGAGAUAAUAUUUGUAAUGAUGCUUCUUGGGAAAGACGCCACACAUUUAUAUUUGAACUUUUAUACUAUUUAGGAAAUCUUUAACGGUCGAUCAAGAUUUGCAGUCAUUAUUGUCUUGACCAUAGUCAAAACGUGAUAAGACUUACUCUAAUUUGUGGCUUCCCACCUUACUACCGCGUGGGCUUUAUCUUUUAGGGAUGACGAAAUAUGUUAAGGCAUGAUAUAAUCAACUACAUAGGAUCAUAACUACAAUUAUUGCUCUAACGAGGAAUAAGGUGUUUGUGCAUUGGUCCAUUUGUGACUUUAAGGAUUCUUGCUUGUGAAUCUUUGGAUCUUCAAUCUCUUCAUAUUAUUGGGAUAAUUAAUUGUGGAUUUAUAGAGGAUGGAAAUAUUUCUUUUUUUCUAUUUCACUUUUUCUUCCUUAGCAUUUUGUUGUUUUGUUUAUAUGAUUUUCCAAGCAUAUUUCUUGAUUGUCAUUGUCUUUUAAACUCUUCUUCAUAACUUCUUCCAAUCUUCAUCCACCACUAAGUUUUAAGUUUCCUUCGUAGUCUUUUGUAAUUUAUUAUUUUAUUAUCGUUUAAUGUCUAAGAAAGCGACGAUGUCUUCCCCUGAGUGAAGGUGUUGUUGUCAUGUGUGAGGGAAUAACUCUCUUAGCAGUUACGCUCUCAUAGUUGCCUUUUUCUCUCCCACAUUUGUCAUUCUAAGAGAUUUUUAGGAGUAAAGUGAAUCUAUAUGAUCUUCAUGAUUUACCCUCUAAAUAGUCAUAUGAAAUUUGAAAAUUGGAGAAAACAUUUUUCUUCAACCUUUUCACGCAAAGUGAGAAGAUAUGUAGGCGGAGCCUUUUCCUCCAGUCAACUCCUUCUUUUUGCGUGAACAAUUGUAAGAUGGGAAAGAUGGUAAAAUACCAUAUUGAUGGACUAAUUAUAGAUCUAGAAAUGGAAUAUCGACAUACUUAGGUGAAUGAGGAAUAUCUAGGGAGCCUCUCUAUUUUUUCUGGCCUGACCUAUUUAACCUCCUACCAAAUAUUCACGGAAGUGGGCGUUCUUAGAGACUAAGUUGUAUAUGUCUCUUCUUCUCUUGAUAAGAUUUAUAGCAAUUACUCAGGAUAUUAUUUCCUUUUUCGAUAUUUUUUAUAGAUAUAGUGGUGCGUCUCAUAUUUUCAUCUUUUGAGAAGCAAAUCGUGAAGCUUGUAUGUGUGGCACCCUCCUAACUUCACCAUAAUUAUUAGACCUUCAUUCAGGCACUCCGGGUUGUAUACGAGUAUUUAGGGAUGUUGGGGUAUGUGUGUGUUCUUAAACAUCUUCUCGCUAGUUUGGGAGGUCGCCAAUGCUAAACUCUCUCAAGAUUAUCUCCUUCAUGUAGUACUAUGGGGUAAUUAAGGUACUCAUUAACUCCCUCAAAACCUUUAAGUUCAUAUACAUAGUAAUCGUAAUCAUAACUGAUGUUGCCCAUAAUAACAUUUAUGGUUCUAUUUAUUUAUACACCAUUAACAAUCUUGUGUACUACUCGUUUUUAGAGUCCAUAUCAUUUUCAAACAAGUCAAAAACAAAUGGUAUGGGAUGAUAUAACUCUGGAUGAUUGUGUGAGAGAAUGUGUGACCCAAAUAUGAUAAUAUGUUCCAUGCUUCAAUAAAGCCACCCAUGCAGAUAAGAAAUAGAGGCCAAGACCAGUGUCUGAUAUAUUGAUAUCCAAACCUUGGUCUUGACCUCUAGUUAUGAUGAUGAUGCCAAAGUGAUUGGGUUAUCCAUGACUUAUAGCCUUUGUCCUUGAUUUUAUCCCUUUGUUGUAUUAAUUUUUUAUUUGAUGUGCAUACAAUUUACUACAAGAGAAUAUUUAUAGGAAGUUCAAAAAGUUAUGGAUGUAUAUGGCUAUGUAAACGUCCUUUCUGGAUAUGUGUUGCCCCUUUGUAAAACAAUGCCUCCACAUAUUGGAACUAGGCAUCCCUUAAUGUUGAACCGGUGCCUCCAAGUUUUAGAACUAGUUGAUCUCCCCCCACCAAUGUCGUCACUAGCACAACACCUUGUUUGGAAACCAGGGUCUCUUUUGGUUAGUCAAGGAGGAGGAAAAAUCCAAUUCUCUUCCAAGAAAAGAAUAUGUCCCUCGGGCCGAGAUAAUGUGGCUAUUUCAUGUUGUGGUCGGGACUCUUUAAUUUUAUCCUUAGCAUCUUCAAGAAAUGUUGUCAACGUUGAUAUGGACAAAGUCGUCAAUAUAUGAUCGUUUGAUCAUCAGGAGACCAUGGUUGAAUGCAUCCCUUAUGUUUAAGGACAUGGCUGAAAAAUUGUGAUUAUCUUUUUCAUCCCUUACUCCCCAAGUGAAAGUCUCAGAACAUGAAAUAACAGUCAAGAUGACGCUCUUCAACAAAUCUAGGUAUGAGGUGAAGAAGUUAAAGGCUCAAAAUAAGUUGAUGGGUGACGGGAAAAAGGUUGCUCGUACAAGCUGGAGAAGUAUGAGGAUCCUGCAUAUAAACAAGAAGAGGAUUGGAUAAAGUAUGAUGAAAGGGAGAGGACGAUCGAGAUAUAUCACUUAAUUUCUGAUGAACGAGUGAAGGAGAGGAAGGAUGAACCAAGUGACAUUUUUAUCUUCUUCUCUUGACUUCUUUCUAUUAGACCAACACUGAAAACAUCUCUUUUUGGGGUAUUUCCAUAUUUGUGGCUCUUUGAAGAGGCCAUAAUGAUACUUAUGGCGAGGAGGAAAGAAACUCACACAAGAAAGCAAGAAUAUAGAAAAUGUAUAAGAUGAAAAAGAAUGAAGGAGUGUUACCUAUUUAUAGUGUGGCUUCUGAUGAGUUUUACCAUGUAAACAUUUUGAGAAGUUAAUGGAGAUUGUGCAUGUUCAAAAUCAGAUCAAAAACAUUCCAAAAGUAGUGUCCAAACAAUUUCCUUUAGACUCCAAUCAAUUUGAUAAUCAAACUGUUCAAGAUUAUGAUUGAUCUUCGUUAAGGCGAGGAUAUGAGUGACUUGGAGACUACAUAUGCAUGUCAUGAUAUUCUAAUCGAUUUUCUCAUGAUGCCAACCAAUUUUUCUUCUGCAACUCAGCCUCCUUAGUAAUUUUUGGGCUUUGUACUGGAUUUCCUUUCUCUCUUGCACCUCUUCCUAGCUUUAUUUGCACCUCCUUACUAUAAAUGACUAGAAAGCUUAUUUGGGUUAGCACAAUAAUUUUAAUUUAUGAGCAAAAAUUAAAAGCACUUUUUUGAAGGAUUAAUCAAAACUUUAUGAUUAUUUCAACUUCAAAGUAGUGUACUACCUUAAAUAUCAAGAACCCUUGAUAAAACUUCCCACGUAAAGGGAACACCAACACAUUUUGGCGUGUCCUCCUUUACGAAUCAUUGGAUACGAGAGUUGGUUAAAACAACGAGAUAUAUGUCCUUUACAGACGUAUCUACUCAACCUACUAUGAGGUUAGCUAACCAGAAAUGUUGAGAUUACCCUUAACUAAAAUCUUGCUUUGAUCACUACCGUUGAUUCACCAUCAUCGAUCAUUCUUGGAUCAAAGACUUAAAAAUAAAAACUAUUGUAUACUAAAGUUUAUACUCUUUGCUUUCCACAACUUUAUUUAAGAUUCUCUGAGGCUUCAUAACAACUGCAAAUCAACCCUGUAAAAUAUACUAGGUAUUCACCAUUGGUACCCAAAUUUUCUUAGGUCCAAGCACGUUAGUAGCUCUAAGAGGUUUAGGAUUAUUAUCUUUAGACCUUUCUAAUUUAUCAAAACAAAAAUAUUCUAAGUGACCAAAUCUAUUACAAUGUGAGCAUUUAUAGAUGCGUUGAUUCUUUUUAUUUCUAAUUAAUCUUUACUAGGAGCUUUAUCUUACUUAAAUCCUAGUCCACUUUUGUUUAAGGAAGGCAUUUGACUUGAUAAGAUCAUGUCAAGGUUUUAUUUCCCCUUAGUAAAUUUAUUUAGUGUUUCAUACAUGUUUGUGACUUCCUUUUCCAAUCAGACACAUGUCUCACAAGUUUCUUAUUGAUUUUUUCAAGAAACUAUAGAUACUCCUUAAGGUCUAAAUUGCAUUUUUUUUAAUUCCAUCAUUUCUUCAAUCAAAUUAGCACUAAUUUUAAACAAUUUCUUUAUAAUGGCUUAGUUAACUCAUAGUCAUCUUCGUCUUAAGAUGCUUUCAAGCAAACUUCAUCAUCUUGUUUAAAGGUGAUUAUUCUAUCGUUCUCCUUGAGGUUGAUUAUUCUUCAUUCGUAGAGGCUUCAUUUCUUCUUUCUAAUAUUCCACUGGACAAUUCUUCUUCUUCACAUCGUCUCACAAAUGAAGUUCCAAAGAUCGUUCAACUACUGAGUAUGUUCUUUUCAAAGGAGACUGUGAGAGUUGUUAGAUAAGAGUCUAAUGAAGUUGGGGAUUCUUCAGUUUUAGAGCUUAUGACUUAAUAUUUAAGUAGUUGGAUAACUCUCUCAACUUCUCUAUAAUUUAAUCCCUCUUUGACUUUUCCUCAGAUUCAAGAAUACUCCUAUCUUUUUGAUUUUAGGAUUGGUUUAAUUUCCAAUUCUUAACUCGUAGAUAUUGGUUAGUAACAAACGUUUCAAUAUAAUUUCUAACAAUUCUAAACUUUGAAAAAUAUUGAUGAAUCAUAUCUUCAUCUUUUCCGCCUCUUGUGUUCAUUUCCUCUUAUUUGAUACUAGGAGAAACUCCAUAUAUUAUUUCAGAGUAUCCCACAUUUCUUGGCGGUUUUCCAAUUAUAACAUAAAGGAGUUUACUAUAAUCUAAAGACAUUACUAUAAAGUUCUUGGUUUUGAAAUAAAAUUUCAAAUUUUCUCUUUUCUUCUACGGUCCAAAGAGAAUCGGGUUUACCUACUACUUAUCCACCAAUUUGUGUGAGUAGGAAUAAACAGACUGUUGAUUAGAGUUUCCCACAAUUCAAACUAAAUAUUUAAAUAAAUACUCUAAAUCUAGCUUUCCGUAUUUCAAACCUAGCACUAUUAAAUGGUGGAUGUGUGUUUGCGAAAAAUCUCUUGUUAAAAAAUGUGUUGGAAGUAAUCUUUCUCAUAAGACGAUUACUCCAUGAAUGGGAGUUAGGCUCAGAUACCACUUGUUAGACAUGUGACUCCAGACACAAGAUGGGGUGAAUUAUGGGUUUCAUAAAAAUGGUAGUUAGAAAAACUUUAUUUGUCAAUUUCAGAGUUUUAAAACAUAUGGAAAGUAAAUAUAUGGAAAGUAAAGGUUAAGAGUAAGAGAAAUAACAUACAAAUAUAUAGAGGUUCAAUCGAAAAGAAAAUACUUAAGCAUCUACCCAAUAUUUUUUCUUAAGAGUAUCCAGUAAAUCUUAAUAUAUUUUAGUAGGUUAAACUCUCGAACCCCCUUUUAUAGGGAAAAAUGAAUUUUCAGGCUAAUUUCCAACCAAACAACAAAGAGAAGAAAUUAGUGUUCUUUACAAACACAAACUCGAAGUAGUCCCUAAGAUAAACUGAUAUUUUCUAUAGUCUUAUCUCGAACCAAUGUGAGCUUUUGAUUUAGGACGAACUCACAAACCAAACUGAGGUUUUGACCAGACAAACCAUGGACCACUAAGAUUUUAAUCUGGGCUUAUCUAAAACCAAAGCAAGCUUUUACCGGGAUAAGCUUACGAAUUGAACCCUGGUUUUUACUAGGAUAACCAUGAACCAAGUUGAUAUUUGAACUGAUUUUAUCUCAAACCAAAGAAAGUUUUUUUAUCACGCUUAGCUUACGAAUCGAAACGGUGACUUAGAACAUAAAUCCCCAAACCAAAUCUUUUAAAAUGUUUAGAUUCAGAGACAGAGAGUGAGGAAUGAAAUAGAAUGCUUAUUUUUCUGGAUGUGAAAUUUUGAAGAAAAGAUCCUUUAUUUAUAGGCUAGAGGUUGGCACAAAAAUGGAAAUUUUCUUGGUCCAAAAUUAAUGUGUCAAUCGAUUGACACUUUGCUCCAAUCGACUAGAAGCCCUAAAAAUAAUCGAUUAGGAAAGGUAAAAACGAAAGAAAAGAUCGAGAUACAUUUUUAUUCAUUAAUACGUUAUCACAAACAUUUAAGGAUAGCUUUUUCACUAACCCAAACGAUUGGGUGUGAGUGAUAAUCAAUUGGACAACAUUUUUUUUGUUAAAAACCAUUCAGAUAGUUCCUGAUUCAACUGACAUGACUCCAAAACAUUUUUAGGGAUAUUUUCAUAAAAAAUAAAGGCUUAAAAAUUGUUUAUAAUUAUACCCUUCUAUAACUUUACGAAAAUGCCAUUGGUAUUUUUACAAACUACGGUUCACUCAGACAUGACAGGGUGGACUUUUCACUUACUCUCUUUCAAAAUCUAAAGCUCAAAGAGUUGUCAAGUAAACCAAUCAUAUAGAUAUUUACUUAAAUAUUCUUGGAGAUGAUGCUUAAGAUGUAUUUCAGUUAAGUACCAUCAUCAAAUGAUCAAACCCUAACUUGUUUGUCUGUAUCUUUAACCACUUUGUCAUACUUGCUUGACUCAAAGGUUGCAUUGAGGUUGUAUCAUCAAAAUUUUCUCCUUUAAAUUUCUCUUUAAGUUGUCUUGAAUACCCUACAAACAUGUUUCAGACAACUUUGAUCACAUGUCUUGUCUUGAUUACCCUACAAAACAUGUUUCAAAGGUUGCAUUAAGGUUAACAAAGGCAAACCAUGAUAGUUUUGAUCACUUGUCUUGAAUACCCUACAAAACAUGUUUCCACUGAGACAAGUGUCAUUACAUAUUGAUUAGUUUCAUCUCACUUUCUAUUUGUUGCCCAUGUUCUUGUAGGGACAAUUCAUCUUCAAUUUUCUCCAUCCUUGUCAGAUUUUCAUUUGAAGGCUCGACUUCUUGUGGGGUAGGAAUUUGAGGAAGAGAUGGUAUGUUGAAGGCUUCCAGUGUCAUGAUUUAUGUUUCAUUGUCUUCCGAAAAAAGUCCUCUUAUUCAAAUUGGCCUUUGAGGUACAAUCAUUUAUUUUUGUUCUUUACCAUGACCCUUCUUGGAUUAGGAAGCUCAAGAAUCUUGUGUUGUUUACCCACACAAUUGGAAGUUAACAUGGUAUAACAGUCGUCAAAAUUCAUUAUCAUCCCCAUUGCAAUUAGGCAUUCUAAAUAAAUUCUUGUGGUGCUUGAAACGAGAGGUUCAUCCUUGUUGGUACAAUUUCCUUUUAGAAAUUAUGUCGUACAUAUCCUCUCUUUUUUGAAGAAAUUAAGACAACGACAUAUGCAUUUGGUUAUUAGCCUCUAUUUUUCCUUGUCCCUCUUGUUUGGUUUGAGGUUUCUGGUAUUUUGUCUUUAUCCCCUCUCUCAACGCCUCUAAUGAAGGUUCUUUGAGAAAAGGUGGGAAAAUGGAGUUUUUAGGAAUUUGAGGUUUUUGGAGGUGGGUUUUGAAAGUGUUGUUUAGGGAGAGGUAUUUGGGAUGGUGGUUGAUAGUUUAAGGUGUGUGGGUAUGCAUUUUAAUAAAGCUUUGGGUUUAUUUCAAUGGAGGUACUAAGAUUUUGUAGAUUUUUUAUUAGAGAGAGAGAGAGAGAGAGAAUCAAAUUUGGGGUUAAAAAGUGGUAAUUUUUGUGAGUGAUUGGUGGGCUUGGAGUGGGACCCACCACUAAGUAUGAGGAAAAAUGAAAAUGUGAAGAUAUCGCCCAAUAUUAUGCCCAUUACAGGCAACCUGUAAUACAGGCGGGAAACUUGUAUAGGGUGUAGUGAUGGGGCUUUGGGGUAUUACAGGUCGAAAUUCCCGUUACAAGCAGCCCAUUACUAUCAACAUUUUUCUUUGGGGUUGCUCUUCCCGCCCUUAGUGCUGAAGAUCCACCUUAAUGAAAUACAAAAAAAAUGCCCUUCAAUAAAUCCAAAAGUUCAUAUUCAUAUGCACCUAUUCCAUACCAAAACGUGUUCUAAGUGUGAGACACACGCCCAUUUUUCCAAAAACUAGUUUGGAAGUGUAUAUCUGGACUCACCCAUACAAUGAUUUUGUUUAUUUCACAACUCAAUGACAAACUCAAAAGUGUAAUUCUGGAUUUAUCAAGUGGGAAUUUGAAAAGAGAAGAUGGGAUUUUUUAUUGAAGAGAGGGAGAGAGAUAGAGAGAGAGAGGGGGGAGAUAGGAUGAGAAAUGAGGAAAGAAAAUCAAAUUUAGGAAUAAAAAAGGGAUAAUUUUUAUGUGUGAUUGGUGGGCUUGGGGUGGGACCUACCACUAAGUAGGAGGAAAAAUGAAAAUGUGAAGAUAGUGCCCAAUAUUAUGGGUCAUAAUGCCCAUUACAAGCAACAUGUAAUGCAAGCGGGAAACUUGUAUGGGGUGUAAUGAUGGGGCUUUGGGGUAUUAUGGGUCGUAAUUCCCAUUACGGGCAGCCUCUUACUAUCAACAUUUUCGUUGGGGUUGCUCUUCCCGGCCUUAGUGGUGAAGAUCCACCUUAAUGAAAUCUGAAAAUUCCCUUCAAUAAAUCCAAAAGUACAUAUUCAUAUGCACCUUCUCCAUACUAAAACAUGUUCUAAGUGAUACACACGCCCAUUUUUCCAAAAACUAGUUUGGAAGUGUAUAUCUGGACUCACCCAUACAAUUAAUUUAUUUAUUUCAUAACUCAAUGACAAAUUCAAAAUUGUAGUUACGGAUUUAUCAAGUAGGAAUUUGAAAAAAAAGAACACCAACUUGCAUGUAUUUCACAACUCAGUGAAUAAUUCAGAAGUGUAUUUUGGAACUUGUCAAACAAGAAAUUUACAAAAACACCACCUUGCAUGUAUGCUUCACUCAUGAUCAUACCACCAUUUCUUCAAAUCCUACCAAAACCUCUUUCACACUCAAUCAACUUUUCUACUUCAAAACAACAUUUCUUUGUUUUUUCACAUCAAAAGGAUCAAAAUAAGUUGGAAUUUGAGGUAAUGUACAUAUAUUGCAUUCCUCAUUAAUUGUUAGUAUCUUAUUUUUGGUAUGAAAAAACAAACGUUGCGUUCGGAACUGUAUUUGUGAAUUGUUUUUGAAUAUCAUACAAAAUUGUAUUUUCAUAUUAGUGCAAUGUUGAAUUUGUCCAGUUUUAAGUUUUUUAUGUUAUAAUUUGGCCUUAGAUAUGGUGCGCACGAGUUUGUCCCUAAAGUUAUUGUGUCUAUGGAUAUUAAACUAGAUGAUGUUGAGGUAGAUGUUACUAAACAAUUUACAAAUGAACAUGGGAUUAUUUUUCGUGAAGAUAUGUUCCAAUGGAUCUGCGUAGAGGCUGCCAAAUUAAGGUUUGACGUUAUAAUCAAGAGGUCGGAUAAUGGUUUUGAUAGAAGACAGACAUUUGUGACACUUAGAUACGAAAGAAGUUGCAAUUACACAAAACAUAUUCAGAAGUUGAAAUGGGGUGACAUCGGUUCGAGGAGAUGUGAGUUUCAUUUUAAGUUGCACGGGUACCUUAUGGAGAAUAACACAUGGACAUUUAAUGUGAUUUGUGGUAUACAUAAUCAUGACAUGUGUUACAAGUUAUUUGACCAUCCCUUGCAUCUCCUUAGUCCUAAAGAUAAGGAACUUGUUUCUGACAUGACAUUAAACAUUGUGCAUCCCGAAAACAUACAUACAACUUUGAAACGAAAAAGACCUAAAAAUGUAUCAAAUAUAAAGCAAAUAUACAAUGUAUGUUCCAGAAACAAUAAGCCAAUAAGAGGUCCAAGAACUAAAAUGUAACAAUUGUUAAAGCUUUUGGAUGAUAACAGUUAUGUAUCUAGGUACAGAGUGUGUGAGGAUGGAGAAAUCAUUCGAAAUAUAUUUUGGAUGCAUCCUAAUUCCAUCAAGUUGUUCAACAUAUUUCCCACUAUGCUCUUAUUUAUUCAACGUAUUAGACCAAUAAAUAAAGGAUUCCCUUCCUAAAAUUGUUGGUGUUACUUCUAUGGAUAUAACUUUUUCAAUUGGGUUUGCAUUUUUGGAAAGUGAAAAAGAGGGCACUGUAACUUGGGAUUUAGAAGUAUGUCAGACUCAUGUUGAAGGACCAAGAAAACAUGUUAAAGGUCAUUGUCACAUAUCACGACACCACACUGAUGAAUUCGAUUGCAAAGGUGUUUCCUAUAUCAUAUUCAUUAAUUUGUAGUUAUCACAUGACAAAAAAUGUGAGAAUUAAAGUUAAGUCAGCAUUAGGGACCAAGCAAAUCAAGGAUGAAGAUGGGAAAAUGGUCAAAGUUGGUGUGAUAUUGAAAAGCAUAAUCAAUGCCUGAAAUGUUGUGAUAAAUUCUUCUAUGGAAGAGUUGUAUGCCGAAUUUGUAAUACAUUUUUGGAGGGUGUGUGAGAAAUUGAAAUUCUGGUAUGUAGAUUGAUCGGUCACCAUUUUCACUUUGCUUUCAUUACUUAUUUGACAAGAAACCAAGGAUUCUGAAAUACUUUGUGUACAUUAUGGUACAUUUUAAGUUACUUUUCAUUUCCGUAAUUUAUUUAAGCAUUUUAUCAAUUUUUAGUUUUAUUUUGUGUUUUCGGGAUUUUAUGAUUUGGUUGUUUGUGUUUAUGCCCUCCAUGUCCACGUAAAAGAUCCAACGGACUCAAUGCGAGAAAGUGGAAAGUUCUAGCGUUUGAGGAAAAGAUAUUUUUCAGUACAUGAGGCCUGACAUGGCCACCCGUUUCACAUGACACAGGCCGUGUCAGGAGGAAGUCAAAGUAAAUACAAGUAAUGUCCAAGACAGUGGCCUGACACGGCCACCCGUGUCAGCUGAUACGGCCCGUGUCAGGUCACCUAAGGAGUGUCAGAAGAGAAUGGAAAGACAGGGAGCUGACACGGUCACCCGUGUUAGCUGACAUGGGCCAAGUCAGCCCAUGCGCGGAAUCUUCCAAUUUUUGGCCUUUUUACCCGGGCUUAGGCUGCAAGGACGUUUUGGGGAUUUCCAAACAUUGCCAAUGGAUUUUUCACUAUUUUAUGAGAGUUUCUACGAGACAAGAAGACACUUUGGAACGAGGAGAACACAUAGCACAGAGAAUUGUCAAACGAUCGAGAAUUACAGAGAUCAAGAAAUUCGGAGAGCAGAAGAUUUUCAUGAGCGGAAGCAAUUGAGGAUCAAAGUCAUCUAAUUACUUGUAAUGUGUAUUUUUUAUCUUGAAUCUGUUUUGAACAAUAUGAGUAGCUAAACCCCCAAAUGCUAGGGGGUAUCCCUGAUUUAGAUCUGUAAUGGCUUUGAGUUUAUGAUUGCAUUGAUAAUAUUUUUUUACGAUAAUCUUUUGAUGUGUUUAAUGUUUUCUCUUUCUGACCAAUCGAGAUUGUUGUAUGGUUAUCAAUUAGGUUGGAUCGUCAUUGGUAAGUUUUUCAUAAGAUUUCUCUGCAGUAGAUAUCACCUAGGACUAGGGAUACCUUGUAUGAAUCAGAGCAUUCUUGAUAUAAUAAGGCUUAAUUUCACCGAUAAUUUCCUAUGGACAUAGAAAUUAGGGUUGAAUGAUUAAAGGUUUUCUCACCAAGGACUUGGGAGAAAAUACCCUUGAGAAAUGGUAGUAAUUGAUAUUUGUUGAUGCAAUAGUGACUCAGUGUUGUUACAGGGACAAAUUAUACACCUUCUUUGGCAUUGUUCCUCUUCCCUUGCAACCCUUAUUUUACAGUAUUAAUUUCUUUUGCCUUUAUUUUUAUAAAUUUGAAUCUAAAACCCCCAAUACUAGUUUUAUUUAAUUGAACAAUGACUUGAACUCGAUAUUAACUUGCAGUCCUUGAGAUCGACAUUCGUGGAAUUUCCCCUUUAUUACUACAAAAGGAAAAAUAGUACACUUGUUAUUUUUCUGAUCAAGUUUUUGGCCCAUUGCCGGGGACUGUCAAAAUAUAGAGUUUAAUUUUAAUUCAAUUAAAAUUUUCCUGCUCUGCAAUAAAAUUAUUUUUCUGUCAUUUAUAUAAUUUCAUUCACUAAUCUGUGUAUGCAAGGAGAUCCCUCAGCUGAAUUUCUUUUUAAUGCGGAAAUCAAGAGAACCCUUCACUAGAGAUGCAGAAACGCUAGAUUGAAUUCCAAAGAAGAAGUUCCCUCUGAUCACUCAGAUUCAGAAAAAGAAACUAUGGCUGAAAUUCCUCCAGUUCCACCUCAUCCACCUCUGGAAAGACUCUUAGGUGACUAUGGAGGUGCAAAUGCGUUGGGUGGUAGAUUGGCCAUUGUCAACCAACCGAUGAAUGUGACUAAUUUUCAACGGCAUCCUAGCACAAUUAAUCAACUUGAAAGAAAACCUUUCACCGGAAAGGCAAAUGAAGCUGCAAACAAGCACCUACGGAGAUUCCUGACCAUGAGUACUACUUUGAAAAUUGAUGGUCAUAUUGAUGAAGUAAAGAAGUUAAGAAUGUUCUUGCUCACUUUAGCUGAAGAGGCGGAAGAGUGGUUCUACUCUCUUCCAGCUGGCAGUAUUACAUCAUGGGAAGAGAUGGAAACAACUUUCUUAAAUGAGUACUUUCCAGCAUCAGUAUUUCUGAGAAAAAGGUAUGAAAUCUUAAAAUUCAAACAAGAGGAUGGUAAAUCCUUGGGAGUUGCCUACAAAAGAUUCAAAAGAGUCAUGGUAGCUUGCCCAACUCAUAAUAUGGAUCAGACUGAACAAAUGCAUAUGUUUGUUAAUGGGCUCAAAAUAAAGAUAAAAUAGUUGAUUGAUACAGUAGCUGGUGGCUUAACAAAUUUCUCAACAUCCACGGUAUUAAAAAGAUUAUUUAAGCAAUAGCUACGAAUGAGCAUAUGGAAUUAUAUGACAGGUGUACAAGCAAGCCUGAAGGAGUCAUUGAUCUGAAAUUGGAAGCUAAUAGAAUCCGUCUGAAAGACACAGUCGCUACUGAAUUAGAAAAGAAAUUAAAGGCUAUGAAUAUAGGUACUCAAUGGGUAGCUCAAGUUCAACCGGCUCAGACCAUAACUUGUGAAAUCUCUAAUAGACCUCACCACACGGUGUAUUACUUUACAACUCCUCAACAAAUUGAAGAGAUAAAAUUCUUGAAGUAGAAUAAUCCCUACUCUAACACUUACAAUCUAGGUUGGAAGAAUCAUCCAAACUUCUCCUGGAAAGAUCAGAGAGGGAAUGUUCCGCAACACGGUCAAGAACAAUAAUAGACCCAAUAUAAACAACGUUAGCAACAACAAGCUCCUAAGAAGUCAUACUGGGAGAUUGCCAUUGAAAAAUUGGUUGCUCACAAUAUUCAGUUCCAAGAGGACACUAGAAACAAUCAAAAGAACACCAUUGCCUCAAUAAAAAAUCUUGAAGUUCAGAUGGGUCAGAUAACACAACAGUUAGCCUCAAAUUCUCAAGCUCCGGGUACCUUGCCUAGUGGUACAGUGACAAAUCCGUGUGAGCAUAAUAAUGUUAACAUUGUAGUAAGUAGAAGUGGUAAGUCAACUGAGGAACCAAAAGAGAAAAAUGCAGAGGAAGAUGGGUUAUUAGAAGUUUAUUUAGAAAUCAAAGAAACAAAGAAAACGGAGAAGGAAGUUGUUACAAUGCUUGUAAAGGAGAAAGAAAGAGCUUCCAAGCCAAUCAUCAAACUCCCUUACCCUCCGAGACAAAAGAAGAAAGACCAACAUGAAAAGAAUUUUGAGAAGUUUUUGGAAAUGUUUAAGAAACUUGAAAUAAAUAUUCCAUUUUCUGAAGCUCUAGAGCAAAUGCCAAUAUAUGCCAAAUUCAUGAAAGACAUCAUCUCCAAAAAGCGUUCCACAAAUUUAGACCUGAUCAUCCUCAUUGAAACUUGUAGCGAUAUUCUCCAAGGUAUGAAAGUUCCUGUGAAAAAGAAAGAUAGGGGUUCGGUUACUAUUCCUUUCACUAUUGGUGAUAUAAAAUUCAAGAAGGCUCUCAUUUAUUUGGGAUCCAGUGUGAGUUUGAUGUCGCUGUCCAUUUAUAAAAAAUUGGGCCUUGGCACCGUUCAAGACACUAGGAUGGCGCUUCAGUUUGCCGAUCACUCAAUUAGGCGACCUUAUGGAAUUGUGGAAGAUGUUCUGGUCAUAAUAGAUAAAUUUGUAUUUCUGGUUGACUCUGUCAUUCUAGAGAUGCCUGAAGAUGAUGAGAUCCCUCUCAUAUUGGAUAGACCAUUUCUAGAAACAUGGUGGUGGAUGAUAGACAUAGAGGAAGGAACAAUGACUCUCAAAGUCUAUGAUGAAGAAUUGAAAAUUGAUGUUCAAAACACUAUGCAAUACAAAGAUGAUGUUGGCACGAGUCACACUGUAGAGGUAAUAGAUCAAGUGAGUGCUCAAGAAAUUGAAACAAAUAUACCUCAGUUACCGUUAGAACGUGUUUUGAGCUUAUCAACUUUUGAAAGUGAUAAAGACAAGAGAGAUUCAGAAGUGCUAGCCAUGAUGGAGGAACAACCUCGGUCGAUUAGAUCUAAACCACACCGGUGGGAAUAUUUAAGACCACCCCCACCAUCAAAAGAUACUCAAGAGCCCAAAAAGUGGGCAGAUCUGAAACAAUUACCUACGAAACUGAAAUAUGUGUCUCUUGAUGCUGAAAAGAAGUGCCCAUCCAUUAUCACUUCUAGUUUACAAAUUUUCCAAGAAGAAGAACUCAUCCAAGUACUAAAAAAAUACAAGAGUGCUAUUGGAUGGGCGAUUGAGGAUUUGAAAGGUAUUAGCCCGACAGUUUGCAUGCACAAGAUCUUAAUGGAAGAUGACCAUAAGCUGGUAGUUCAACCACAACAAAGACUUAAUCUAGUUAUGGAAGAAGUAGUUCGUAAAGAGGUUGUCAAGUUGUUAGAUGCGAGGCUGAUUUACCCCAUAUCUAACAGCUCAUGGAUUAGUCCAGUGCACAUGGUACCAAAGAAAAGGGGGACUAUUAUGAUAAAAAAUGAGAAAAAUGAGUUGAUCCCAGCUAGAACUAUUACAGGUUGGAGAGUGUGCAUUGACUACAGAAGGCUGAAUAUUGCAACAAGAAAGGACCACUUCUAUUUUCUAUUCAUUUAUCAAAUGUUGGAAAGGUUAGCCGGUCAUGAUUGUUAUUGUUUCCUUGACGGAUACUCGGGGUACAAUCAGAUUGUUGUGGCCCCUAAAGAUCAAGAGAAGACCACUUUUGAAAUUCUAGUUAUCAGACUUUAGAUGUCACACGGGUUGUUAUGACAUCCAAUUCUGCACAGACAAGAAUUAUGCAGAACUUAAAAGUAAGUGCCGUUCAGUCCACAUGACCUACAUCUGGGGGCUACCAAGCCAGGGAGGAAAUCCACUAUCAGUAGUAUUAAUUCAAAGCUAACACCGUUAACAACUUGUCACUUAAUCCUACCCAAAGCAAUGUCCUCUUUACACUAAGACUCAGAGUUCCUACUCACUCCCCUCAUCACCUCAGUGAUUACAACUUAACCAGUAUUAAAGACAACUUUGAAGUCACACUUCAGAACAACUCUUGAUUGUGCUUUACAGGCUUUAAUCAGGAUACAACGAGCACUCACGCCUUAAAAGCUUGAGCGGCAGACACAAAACACUUACAAUCCAAUGAACACCCUAUGCCAAAGCAAUCAUCUACGUGAUAUGGCUUCUUACAGAUAUGCUAAUACAGAUCACAAAUAAUCAGAUGCAGUGAAGUAUGUGAACCACUAAAUCUUCAGCCCUCAAAAUCCCCAGUUCUGAAUGAAGGACUGCUCCUUUUAUUUGCAGUACUUGGGCUUUGCACUUGUAUUCUCCUGAUUUAAGGUCACGCGAUCCCCUAAAUUCCACAUCGUUACUAACAAAUAGGCUAUUGUUAGGUUCAUUAAAUGUGCUUGGUUGUUGAUUUCCUGGAUUUCUCUUAGUUGUUGAAUCCUGAAGAAUAGCCUGAAAAACUGAAACAGAAAACUGAACAACUACAAUAUAGCAUAUGCUGUCAGGAAUGAAUGUCAAGACAUUCAGCUUGACAUCAAGGAUCAUAUGCUAAGUCUGUUUUUCCAGAAACAGACUGUACAAUUUUGCUGACCUGUACAUACCAAAAUGACCAUUCUACAGUAACAGCUUACAUUAAUAAAUGUCAAAGUAUCCAAUUGACUUUACACAUUUGCCUAAAGUUAUUCUGUUAUCCCUUGAAGAACAAACAAGAACAUACUGAAUGUACCAGAACACCACUCUGUCUAUUGUUCAGUAUAUGCUGUCAAUGAUGAAUGUCAUAACAUCCGUUUGACAUUCAGUCAGUAGCCUUAUGCCAGGUCUGGUAUUUCCUUGAUAACCAGACUGGAAAUAAAUACUAAGUUCUAACAGAAGACAAGUUGUUCAUUCCUUAGUAUCUGCUGACAGGAUGAAUGUCACAACAUCCAGUUUGACAUUCAAUAAAUCCUGUAUAGCUAAUCCUGCAGUAACUACUCAAGUGUGUCAUGACAUCAGUCAAGACAUCAGAGUACGUUAGAUAUCUAACCUACAAUGCAGUCACACAUACAACCAUGUCAUGACAUCAGUCAAGACAUUAGAGUCCAGCUAGUGUUUUACCAUAUAAUGCAGCCAAUCUAACACCUACAAACUCCCCCUUUGGCAAUUUUGGCUAAACACUUUGAUCCCCAUAACGAGUUCAUAGCAGCGGAAUCACCCAUCUAGCAGGAAUAAACCUAGUAAUACACUCAGAGCGCAGCAACUCACACACAUGGAAGUUAAGUAAAACUUCACAUAACCACACAUACAGAAGUUAAAUAAAAACUUCAAUUGCAGCACACAUCAGCUGCAGGGGAGGGAUCUUCGAAUCGUCAUGAACGUCUGUUUUUACAGACCAAUCUGUUGUCUGGGGUAUCACCACUGUUACUCCCCUUUUGUCAGAAAUGUUGCCAAAGCAACAACAGAAACAAAUGACAGACUUACAGACUUGGUUUUACUUCCAGUUUCAACCAAGUUGGCACCACUUGAUCUUGCUUCACAGCUUUGAUCAAGUAACACCCACUUUGCUUUACUGUUGGUACAGCCAUAUCAGAUGCCAUGACUUUGUUUCUGACAUCCAGAACCACUCCUGCAUGAACAGCGUCCUUGAAUUCCGCAGGUGCAUAGGCCUUCUCACGUUAGGUGUCUCCUUACCUCUUGUUGCCACACUUGUUGCAAGUGGUAUAGCUUACUGUUGACCAUCAGAACAUAGUUCCAAUAAAUAUAUUCCAAAACAUCAUUGUUGCUAUAAGGUCUCAGAGAGACAUUCCCAGUUUGCCCCUAAAUUUCAAACUGGUAGCAUCCAGAGCCUUUGUAAAUAUGUCAGCCAGUUGCAGUUCAGUGGCUACAUGUUCCAAAGUGAUCACCUUUUUCACCAGAUCUCUGAUGAAGUGAUGUCUAAUUCAAUAUGUUUGGUCCUGCUGUGUUGGAUGGAUUCUUGGAAUAUGAUGGCACUGAGAUUAUCACAGAAUAAUGUCUGACAUUUGAGUGACAUUGUACUCAAUGAGCAUCUGUCUCAUCCACACCAAUUGGACAACUGCUUCCAGCAGCUAUGUAUUCAGCCUCUGCAUUGGACAGGAUACACAGUUUUGCUUCUUGCUGAACCAAGAUAUGAGAUGUCUCCCAAGAAAGAACAUCCCUGAUGUGCUUUUUCUCGUCCAGCACUCCAGCCAGUCAGCAUCACAGUACCAAAUAGGACGGCCAGACCCAUGUGAGUACAGCAUCCCAUACCACAAGUCCAUUGAUGUACUUAAGAAUCCUUUGACUUGAUUCAGUGCUCAUCUUAGGCCUGCUGGUAUCUUGCACACACUCCAACUGCAUAAGAAAGUCAGUUACUUGCAGUUAGAUAUAGUGAUCUGCCUAUCUUCAUACAAGCAUGAUCAACACUAGGCCCUCCAUCAUCUUUGGUUAACUUCAAGAUGUAGAGCAGGAGUCCUUUGUGCCUAGCAUAUCCUACCAAACUUCUUAACGAUUUUGCAUACUUGCUUUGGGAGAGAAACAUAGACUCGAUUUGUUGACUUGCAAUUCCAAGCAAUUAGUUAUGACUUGCAUUCCAAGAAAGUAGGUUAGUUCCCCAACCAGACUCAUUUCAAACUCAGAUUGCAUCUGUUGAACAAAAUGUGUUACCAUUUGUUCUGACAUACCACCAAAGACUAUAUCAUCCACAUUGAUUUGAGCAAUCAUUAUUUUGCCGUCUUCAUCCUUCACAAACAAGGUUUUAUCUAUUCCAUCUUUUCUGUAUCCAUUUGAGGUCAGAAAUUCGGUCAACCUAUCAUACCAGGCUCUAGGUGCUUGUUUCAACCCAUACAAGGCUUUCCUCAACUUGUAUACAUGAUUAGGUUGGUUAGGAUCACAGAACCCUUUAGGUUGUUCCACAUAGACUUCUUCAUUCAAGUAGCCAUUUAAGAAUGCACUCUUUACGUCCAUUUGGAAUAGUUUAAACUUCAGAAUGCAUGCUACCCCUAACAGCAAUCUGAUGGACUCAAGCCUAGCCACAGGAGCAAAUGUCUCAUCAAAAUCAACCCCUUCAACUUGAGUGUAUCCUUGAGCUACUAGUCUUGCUUUAUUCCUAGUAAUUAUACUCCUUUCUCAUCAGAUUUUUUUGUAGAUCAGCUUAGUACCGAAUGAUGUUUUGUCCCUUCAGGUCUUUGGAAACUAGCUCCCAUACUUCAUUCCUUUGAACGCUCAAGUUCCUCUUACAUGGCAUGAUCCAGUGAUUCGUCAUCAGGGCUUCUUUCACAUUCUUUGUUCAAACCUUGGAUACAAGUCAAGAAUUUGAGCUUAUUCUCGUGACCUUGGUAGUCACACACUAUUAUAGACCCCUACUGAUCAGAUCCUUAGGGUGGUCUUUCUGAAUUCUGAUAGAAUGGCAUUUUUGGUGGUUGCAUUCUACUUCACUUUCAGGAGGAGGUUCGUACUUCUUCAGACGUGACUUGGAAUGAUCAGUUGAAACUGUCAAGGAAUUUCAACCAUCCAUCUAUCAACAUUGAUUCCUUCUCUUUAUCAUCCAUACUAACAUUUAUGGAUUCCAUCAGACAUUGGUCCCUGUAGUUGAAGCACUAGUAGGCUUCUGCUGUAGUGGAGUAUCCUAGAAAUAUACCCUCAUCACUUUGGGAAUCCAUCUUUCCUUCUCUAUUCACGAUCUGUGAGAAUGUGAGCAUUUACCUUCCAAAGAUGAUGAAAGUACUUCACUGUGGGGUUUUCUGCCUUUCCAUAUUUUCAUAUAGAGUGGAGGAGGUUCCUUUUCUCACAGGUAAACUCUGUUGUGAACAUAGCACGCGGUAUUCAUUGCUGCUCAGCCCAAAAGUGCAUGGGAGUCUUCUUUGGAUGAAAUCAUCUGCUGGUUUCUCUGGCAAAUUCUUGAAAUAGUUUCUAUUUUUUCCUUUCAAACUAUCCCAUUCUGCUGGGGAGUUAUAGAGGGAGGAGAACUCAUGACUUAUUCCUCAGACGAGCAAAACUCAUCAAACUUGGAAUUCUUGAACUUCCGUACCAUGAUCACUUCUUAAUUCCGGACCACAUCAGCUUGUUCCUUUUCCCUUUAAGUCCUUUAUGCACAGGUCUUUGACAGACAUCCAACUGUAUCUGACUUUUCUCUCGAUGAAAGCUUAUCCACGUGUAUCUGGAAUGGCAUCGAACCACACCACGUAAGCAUAUCUCCUUCCCACCAAGACUUCAACCUGCAUAGGUCCCAUUAAGUCCAUGUGCAACAGUUCCAGAACUCUGGAGGUUGUAGGAUGUCCCAGCUUCGGAUGUGACAUCUUGGUUUGCUUGCCCACCCUGGCAUUUCUCCACAGACUCUUCUUCAUCAAUAGCAGCUUUGGAAUUCCUCUGACUGCUUCCUUGGAUAUAAUCUUCUUCAUUCCCCGUAAGUGGAGAUGUCCAAGACGUCUAUGCCACAGCUUCACCUCCUGUUCUUCCUUGGCUGAGAGAGCAUAUUGUGGAAAAGUUAGAGACUUUAGGUUCCCACAGAUAACAGUUAUCUUUGGACCUGGUUCCUCUCAAUAACUUCCUGAUUGUCACCAUUUGUCACAAUGCAUAGCUCCUUAGUAAACUGAACAUGGAACCCUUGAUCACACACAGCUAGCCUUAUGCUGAUAAAGGUUUGCAGUUAGUCCCUCUUACUAAACAGCACAUUAUUCAGUUUUUGAACUCCAGAGCAGUCCCAGCUUACCCACACCUUUUAUUUUUUCUUUGGCACCAUCACCAAAGGUCCAGCAUAGCUGGUAGUGUUGAGUUGAAUAUCCACCAGUAGAUUUUCCAUACCAGUCAUAUGUCUUGAGCAUCCACUGUCAAAGUACCAGUUUUCUCUGGUAGAAGCCCUUAGAGCUGUGUGUGACUAACCUAGCAUACCAUUGUUGCUUCUUGAUGGGACAUAGCGCUUAUAUGUCUUAUGCUUAGGCCUGACAUGCGAGGCUUGGUUAGCGGAAACCAUGACAGCCAGUAACAGAAGGCUUUUAUAUGUCCAAGGCCUACCACAGUGGUGACACCUCCAUCCUGUGUAUUUCCUCUUCUGAUGAUUAUUCAUCCUAGUUUCCCACGAUGUUGAGACAUUGGCUUUGAACUUCCGCUUGAACUUCUGAACUUUUAGCCUUUGGCGUUUGUGUUCAGGCUAAGGACUUUUUCCCAAAUCCUAGCCAGAUUUGGUUCCAGACUGCUGUCCCACCUUUAGAACUCUUCCAAGGUGUCAGUUCCAUUGUUCAUCAUUCUGAUGGAUUUAGUCAUCUGAUUCAGCUUGGAGGUCAGCAAGGCUAUCUCACCAUUAGACCCUCUAUGGCUGUCAGAUGCUUCUCUCUAUCAUCUUCCAGUUCCUUGAUGAGUUUCUUCUGCUUUUCUCCUUGUGCACGGACUUCUGCACUGGGGUACACAGCUUCUUAUAGGCUGCAGCAUUCAUCAAAGGUCAGUUCAUCUGCACUUGAGUCAUCAUCAGAGCACAAACACUGGUUAGUGCAUGUGACAUGGUUUGGCAGAUUCUCCUUCAGAUUCACUUUCAGAAUCUCCCUUCAGACCAUGUGAUAGUUAUCCCCUUCUUUUGCAUCUUGAGAUAAGUAGGACAUUCAGCUCUGACGUGUCCAUACCCUUCACAACCAUGACACUGGAUUCCCUUGCCUUGGUUGAACUUUUCUUCCAGAAGUUGAUCUUUUCCUGAUGUCAGACGGGAUGUUCUUGACAUUAGGUCUCCCUCUUUGAUCAAUCUUCUUCACGAACUUGUUGUAAUUGUCUCCCAAGCAUGGCUAAGGCUUCUGAUAUACUUUCAUCACCUUCAAGUAUAUCCUGCUUCUGACUCAUUCUUCAGCAUUAGAUACAAAAGCUAAACGCUUUUGUUCUUCUUUUCAGCAUUCCUCACACAAGCCCAUUUCAAAGGUUUGGAGAGAACCAAUGAGCUCAUCCACCUUCAUAUUGCAGAUGUCCUGCGCCUCCUCUAUGGCUGUGACCUUCAUAGCAAAUCUCUUAGGCAAGGACCUGAGAAUCUUUCUUACAAGUUUCUCUUCAGCCAUUUUCUCACCUAGUCCACCAGAGGUGUUUGUAAUUUCAAGAAUAUUCAUGUGAAAGUCAUGAAUAGUCUCAUCCUCUUUCAUCCUCAGAUUUCAAACUUGGUGGUCAGCAUCUGAAGUUUGGACAUCUUCACCUUGGAAGUACCUUCAUGAGUUACCUUGAGGGUAUCCAAACUUCCUUAGCUAGUUCACAGUGGUGCACCACGCCUGAAGAUGUUCUUACUGAUUCCAUUGAACAAUGCAUUCAAGGCCUUGGAAUUUCCAAAGCUAAUGCCUCUUGCUCCUUGUCCCACUCUUCUUCAGGAAUCUGCACACUGACUCCAUCUUCACUUGUCUUCGUUGGAUGUUCCCAUCCUUUUGUUGACACUCUCCAGACUUUUCUAUCUAGAGACCUUAAGAAGCUAUCAUACGAAGCUUCCAGUCAUCAUAAUUAGAGCCAUCCAACAUGGGUGGUCUAUUGAGUGUCCUAUAUCCUUGUCCAUGGUACUGAAAAGUAAACUUCCCUAGAUCUCACCGCAGAAAUUCACAGGCAGGGUGCCUGCUCUGAUGCCAAUUGAAAUUCUAGUUUAUCAGACUUUAGAUGUCACACGGUGUUUAGACAUCCAAUUCUGCACAGACAAGAAUUAUGCAGAACUUAAAAGUAAGUGCAGUAAUAUAACACAAGUAAUUGUUUACCCAGUUCAGUCCAAAUGACCUACAUCUGGGGGCUACCAAGCCCAGGGAGGAAUCCACUAUCAGUAAUUAAUCAAAGCUAAACUCACCCGUUUACAACUUGUCACUUAAUCCCUACCCAAUGCAAUUUCAAUCUUACACUAAGAUCAGAGUUCCUACUCACUCCCCUUAAUCACCUCAGUGAUUACUACCUUUAAUCAAUAUUAAAGACAACUUUGAAGCCACACUUCAAACAACUCUUGAUGUGCUUUACAGGCUUUAAUCAAGAUACACAUCACUCACGCUUAAAAGCUUUGAGCGACACAACACUUACAACUCAAUGAACACCCUAUGCCAAAGCAAUCAUCUACGUGAUAAUGCUUGGCUUACAAGAUAUUCUAAUAACAAGACCCACAAAAAUACAGCAGUGAAGUAUGAUGACACACUAAUCUUCACGCCUCAAAAUCCCCAGUUCUGAAUGAAGGCAGACUUCCUUUAUAUUGCAGUACUUGGGCCUUUGCACUUGUAUUCUCCUGAAUUUAAGGUCACGCGAGUUCCCCUAAAUUCCACAUCUAGGUUACUAACAAUAGGCUAUUUGUUAGGUUCAUUAAAUUGUAGCUUGGUUGUUGAUUUCCUGGAUUUUCUCUCAGUUUGUGAUCCUGAAGAAUAGCCUGAGAAAAAGCUGAAAUAGAAAACUGAACAACCUACAAUAUAGCAUAAUGCUGUAAGGAAUGAAAUGUCACGACAUUCAGCUUGACAUCAAGGAUCAUAUGCUAAGUCUGUUUUUCCCAGAAAACAGACUGUACAAUUUUGCUGACCUGUACAUGACCAAUAAUACCAUUCUACAGUAACAGCUUACAUUAAUAAAUGUCAAAGUAUCCAAUUUGACAUUUACACAUUUGGCCUAAAAGUUAGUUCUGUUAUCCUCUUGAAGAACAAACCUAAGAAACAUACUGAAUGUACCAGGACACCACUCUGUCUAUUGUUCAGUAUAUGCUGUCAAUGAUGAAUGUCAUAACAUCCAGUUUGACAUUCAGUCAGUAGGCCUUAUGCCAGGUCUGGUAUUUCCUUGAUAACUAGACUGGAAAUAAAUACUAAGUUCUAACAGAAACAAGUUGUUCUAUUCCUUAGUAUCUGCUGACAGGAAUGAAUGUCACACAUCCAGUUUGACAUUCAAUAAAUCUUGUAUUAGCUAUCCUCGCAGUAACUACUCAAGUGUGUCAUGACAUCAGUCAAGACAUCAGAGUACAGUUAAGAUUUCUACCUAUCAAUGCAGUCACACAUACACACCAUGUCAUGACAUCAGUCAAGACAUUAGAAUCCAGCUAGUGUUUUACCAUAUAAUGCAGCCAAUUAAACACCUACAACUUUCACAUGUCCUUAUGGUAUUUCCGCAUACAAGAGAAUGCCAUUUAGGUUGUGCAACGCACCUGUCACAUUUCAGAGGUGUAUGACAUCCAUAUUCGCGGACAUACUGGAAAAACAUAUGGAAGUGUUUAUGGAUAACUUUUCUGUUUUCGGUUCUUCUUUUGAUAAAUGUUUGACUAACUUGUCUCUUGUGCUAGAAAGAUGCCAGUAAAUAAAGUUGAUCCUAAAUUGGGAGAAGUGACAUUUUAUGGUACGUGAAGGGAUCGUGUUUGGACACAAAAUUUCCAACCGAGGCAUAGAAGUAGACAAAGCAAAAGUGAAGGUGAUAGCUAAUUUACCACCACCAGUGAAUGAAAAAGGCAACAAAAGCUUCUUGGGACAUGCAGGAUUUUACCACAGGUUCAUCAGGGACUUUUCUAAGAUCGCCAAACCAUUGACAAGCUUACUUGUGAGAGACACACCUUUUUUUUUUACAAAAAGUGAAGCGAAGCUUUUGAGAUCCUGAAGAGGGAGUUGGUGUCUGUUCCUAUAGUGAUUGCCCCUGAUUGGUCUCUCCCUUUUGAGAUCAUGUGUGAUGCAAGUGGUAAUGCAGUGGGGGCAGUGCUAGGACAACGAAAGGCGAAGCUCUUGCAUGUGAUUUAUUAUGCAAUUCGUGUGUUGAAUCCCGCCUAAAUGAAUUAUGCAACCACUAAAAAAGAAUUGUUUGUGUUUGUGUAUGCGUUUGAUAAAUCCAGGUCUUACCUGUUAGGAUCAAAGGUAAUUGUUUAUACUGACCAUGCUGCUUUGAAAUAUCUUUUUUCAAAACAAGAAUCUAAAUCGAGGUUGCUGAGAUGGAUUCUACUUCUGCAAAAGUUUGAUCUGGAAAUCAGAGACAAAAAGGGGUGUCAAAAUACUGUUGUUGAUCACUUAUCUCGAAUGUCCCCGAUAGAAGAAAUAGAAGAAAAACACUCAAUCAAGGAUGAGUUCAUCGAAGAAAGAAUCCUAGCUGUCACUGGUGUUCCAUAGUUCGCAGAUUGUGCAAAUUAUUUGGUAGGUAGACUAAUACCUGAUGAUUUUGAUUCUAACAAAAAGAAAAAUCUUUUGCAUAAUUGCAAGUUUUAUUUGUGGGAUGACCCAUUCUUGUACAAAAAAAAGGAAUAUAUGGGUUAAUUCGAAGGUGUGUUCCAGAGAAAGAACAGAGGGACGUCCUCAAAGCUUGUCAUGACUCAGAAUAUGGAGGACACUUUAGUGGCGAUAGAACCGCAACAAAAGUCCUCUAAUAUGGGUUGUACUGGCCUACAAUGUUCAAAGAUGCUCAAAGUAUAGUAAAAGUUGUAGCAUUACCCACAAAUAAUGCUAAAGUGGUGGUCAAUUUCCUAAAAAACUACAUUUUCUCUAGGUUUGGGGUACCAAGAGCACUAAUCAGUGACGAAGGUACUCAUUUUAUAAAUAAGUUAAUGUAGAAUCUGUUAAGGAAAUAUAAUGUCAAGCAUAAAAUUGUCACAUUGUAUCAUCCUCAAACAAUUGGACAGGUUGAAGUAUUGAACCGGCAGAUAAAGCAGAUUCUAGAAAAGACUGUCAGUGCUUCUCGAAAGGAUUGGUCGAUCACGUUGGAGGAUGCGUUGUAGGUGUAUAAAAUAGUGUUCAAACCCCUAAUAGGUAUGUCCCCUAUUCAAUUGGUUUACGGUAAAGCAUGUCAUUUACCGCUCGAACUAGAGCACAGGGCAUGCUGGGCCUCCAAAUUCCUGAACUAUGACCUUUCAAAAGAUGGGGAAUCCUAGAUUCUUCAACUACAUGAGCUAGAAGAGUUUAGAAAUCAGUCUUAUGAAAACUCAAAAGUAUACAAAGAGCAAACAAAAAAAUGGCAUGACCAAAGAAUUCAGAAGAAAGAAUUUUGGGAAGGACAGUUGGUGUUGUUAUUUAAUUCUAGGUUGAAGUUAUUCCCUGGAAAGUUGAGGUCGAGAUGGUCGGGACCUUUUGUAAUUCAGAAGGUAUUCCCGCAUGGAGUAAUUGAGCUCGAAAAUCCAGCGAAGGUGGACACUUUUAAAGUGAAUGGGCAGAGAGUAAAUCCAUACCACCAAGGACAAGAGAGUGGACUGGUAGAUAAGGUUCGUCUUACCUGAUAAGAUGGACGAUCGUCGAGUCAUGUGACGUUAAAUGAAGCGCUUCGUGGGAGGCUCUUUCUAAUUAUUGUUUAUCUUUGUUUAUUAUUUUAGGUUUGCAUUGCCUUGUAUAAAAGGGCGAAGGUACUCACAUAAAUGCGGGAGUUGUACCGGGAGGAAAAACCGUAUGUGAAAAGAAGAGAGAGAAAAAUUUCUUGAUGAGAAACCAGAAGCCUAACAUGGCCCGUGUCAGGGCCAUAAUAAAGGGCUUCAAAUUGAGAAUAAAAGCAUCCUGACACGGUCGCCCGUGUCAGGAGCACUGAAGAAAAUGAUGAAAAAUCAACAUGGCAGAAGCCUGACAUGGCCGUCCGUGUCAGGACCACUGAAGCUCAUGCCUUGAGGUUUUGAGAGACAGAAGCCUGACACAGCCGCCUAUGUCAGCUAACAUGGGCCGUGUCAGGCAUGCGGAUUUGAAAAAUGUUGGAAAAAGUUGUACUUUGUGUGGGCCUCACCCAUCAUUAAAACCCAUUACCCAUUCAUUACACCCAAUUAACCCUUCCCAAAAAUCUGACGUGAUUCACUUUCCACUCAUUAUCCCCCACUAAUCUCAUCUUUUCCCCCAUCUUUCUCUCAAAAACCCUCACCUCCAUUAAACCACAACAUAAAUCUUCCACCUUUACCACCACAACAAACCCAAAUCACAAACUCCCUUCACGAAUCCUUCUCCUUUUUCGCCCUCAUCCCAACCACAGUGUUUGUUUUCUCUAAUUCCUAUUUUGGAUUUCUCGUCAUUUUUUUAAGUACGAAAAUGCCCCCAAGAAGGAUUGUGCGAGGGAAGCAACAAAUGGUCGAGCCUCAAGGCCACGGAAAACGAGCAGCCGAAAUCCGAACCCACACAACAUUGUCUUUGACAAUCCGGAGCAGGAGCAACGGUACUCAGUUGAUAGAAAGCGAAAUCUCACCCUCACCAGGUAUAUGUGCAAAUAAACCCUUCAUGAUUUAGGCUUAAAGAUUGAAGAUGACAGGAUAUUCCAUGUGUUGGGUCUGUUCGAAUUCAUGAGUCUCGAAGCGCCGACCUAUGAGUGCAUCACGCUUGAAUUUUUGAGCACACUUGAAUUCCAAUUGGAGAAGUGGUGGAUUAACACGACGAGGUACUACUAUGAUACUCUUUGAUUCCUCCUUUUUAAUAAUUAUCACGAGCUUUCGGUGGAGGAGUUGGCGGGUAUUCUCUGACUCCCAUUGUACGGACUGGGUGCGGUCCCUGAUGGGUUUUCUCCAUAAGAUUUCUGGACUACUAUUACUAGGAAAACUGAUUACACCUCCAAGGGUGCAAAAGCAUCCGGCAUCCAGAACUCGUGCUUCCGCUAUGCUCAAAAAGGUAUGGUGUAUACUUUGUUUGGACGGGGUGAGAGCAUGGGAGUGGCAACUCAGCGGAAAUUGUUCUUCCUGUACUCGAUGGCACUGAAUCGGGCCAUCAAUGUUGUUGCCUUUGGAGUUGAUUACUUAGGGAGAGUUGGUCGGGCGGACUCUGGUGGUAUUUUUGUUGGGGCAUGAUUACCCAGAUUGUUGAAUAUUUUGGUUGUCAUGCAAUUUUGCUUGAAGACACCCCAGUGGCAGGUAAGACAAAAAUAGAUAUGGCAGGUCUCAUCCAACAAGGUAUGAUUUCUGUUGCACAUAAUUACUAUCUUGUUUUGAUUCAUAAAAUAUUUGUCAUUGCACUUCCUAAUUAAAUAGAUAUGGCAGGUCUCAUCCAACAAGGUAUGAUUUCUGUUGCACAUAAUUACUAUCUUGUUUUGAUUCAUAAAAUAUUUGUCAUUGCACUUCCUAAUUAGAAAAGAGUAAGUAUUGUUGAUUAUGCUAAUUGGUUAUAUGUGAGUGUUGGCCCUGAUAUAGAGGAAGGCUACGAUGCUGAAAAUUUGGUUGUAGGUGAGAAGGUUGCAGGUGAACAGAUAAAUGAAUAUUAACAGCAUCAGGAGUCAUUUGUACCCCCGUCCCAAGAGCCAUCCCAUCAGGGCACCGGGUCAUCAUCCAUGAAUCACGGCCAAUGGGCAUGGGUACAAACUGAGCUCGGUGACCUUAGGACCGAGCAAUCAAGACAAGGCAUCGAGUAGGCUCGGCAAUGGGCGAUUUUGGAUUAGAUGAACCUGAUGAUGCAAUAGUGAUGUUGGACUUUUCUCCCCAGCCUCCUCAAUAUGGCACUAUGUGUCACCCUCCUUCUAUCUUAUUCCACAAUAUUAAGGAUAAUGUUUAGUUCAAGUGUGUCUGGGGGGGAGGGGGAGGGGUAUUUUUCUUUUUGUUUUAUGUUUUUAAUUUUAGUAUUUCCCAUUUUUGUUGUUUUACAAUUGGUUUGUUUUUACUAUUGGGUAUCAAUUGCUGCAUGUAUUUCAGGUUCUUGGUGUUAUUGUGGCAUUAGGUGAUGACCAUUAAUGGUAGUGGAUGAAAUGAUCACUCCACUUACUAUUGCUUGUUGUGAAGGAUCUUCCCCAAAAGUUAAUACUAUUGAAGAAAAAAUCAGACGCAACUUCUCAAGCUCGACUAACGUAGGUUCCUUGUUCAUUCUGAGUUGAGUAAGAAGCCGCACCAUACUAGAAGUACUGUGGACGAUGUCAAGCUUUACCUAACAUGGUGAGUGCAUAAAAAGCCAAAUACAUUUGUCAUCAUGAGCGAUAUUCAGGUAUGUCUUUAUCACUCUGACUUUGCGUAGGUUCUCUGGGAUGAGCUUAUUGGGUCACUUCAAACUUUUGAAUGGGCUAUCAAUGAUAGAUCUAAAAAGAAGAACAAGUGCCUCCAAUACUGAGGAUGAAGAGGAUCAAUGUGACUUGGAGACUGAUGAAGGAAUCUCUAAUUCCAUUGUGCUUCUUGGGAGGUAAUUCAAUAAGGUGUUGAAGAAAAUGGAUAGGAAGUCAAGACCUGAUGUCAAGAACAUGUCAUUCGACAUCCGUAAGAACAAUGAUUCUCAUGGAAAAGCAAGAACAGAAGAACCGCCCAAUCAAGAAAAGGUAUUCAGUGUCAUGAAUGUGAGGGUUUUAGUCACAUUAUAUUAGAAUGUCCCACGUAUCUCAAGAAACAAAAGAAGGGCUUGUUUAAUGAUUAUGAAUGUGAAACUAAUGAUAAAACUACUAAGCAUGUUACAACUUUCACUGGUAGAUAUGAAUCUGAUGAAGAUUCUUAUGAUAAGGAAGUCUCUUAUGAAGAAUUGGCCGCUUCCUACAAAGAGCUUUGUGUCAGAAGUGAAGAGGCGUGCAAGACAAGACAAGAGAAAAGGAGAAUUAUAGCUCAACUACAGGCUUGAAAAGAGAAACUUUUAUCUACUGUCACUGAUCUUAAAAAUAAGGUAACUUUAUUGUCUUCUAAACUUCAAAACAUGACCAAAUCCAUAAGAAUGUUGAACAAUGGGUCUGAUAUGCUAGAUGAAAUUCUUCUAGCUGGAAAACAUGAUGGAAACUUAAAAGGUAUAGGUUUUAAUUACCAAUAUCAAAAUAAACUAAGAAAAACCCAUGUGACAAAAUUUAUUCCUCUAGAAAGGAAGUAUGAGCCCAUGAUGUCCGGCCAAAUGAUACAACAUCCUGCCAGACAUCAGGAAACUCAAACUAAAGUCAAGUUUUUGCCUUGGAAAUAUCAUUAAUAUGGUAAAUAUGGACAUAUAAAGCCUUUCUACUACAAACUAUAUGGUUAUCCAAAAUAUCCAACAUCUCCUAGGGAUAAUCAUGAAGUGAUUAAAUCUAGAAAAGAGUGGAAACCUAAGGUUGUUCCACAUGAAACUACUUGUUCUUCCAUAUGCCUAAUGUCCAAGGAAGAUGAAGUCAAGUUGUGGCACCAGAAGCUUGGACUUAUGAAUCUCAAAGGGAAAUCUCUUGGUUACUCUAAAAACUGUAGAGCUCACAAGGUAUUUAACUCCAGAACCAAGGGCAUGAUGGAAUCCAUUAAUAUUGUGGUUGAUGAUUCAAUUAUUGUAAAAGGGAUUGAUGUCUAUGAAGAUGUUGGAACAUCAUCUCAGUGGACUGAUGCUUCAGAAAAUGUGGAAGAUAUUGAGUCAAACAUUGAGCAAGCAAGGAAUGAAUCAAAUGAUUUUGCUGAUAUCUGAGCUGUUUCUUUUUCUAUUUGAUUUUUUAUGUUUAUUGUGGGCUUUUGCCCUAAAUAUUACACCUCUGUGUGCCAUGGUAUGUACCUCUAAUUCACAUGUUUUGCUACUGUUUUGAUCUAUUGUUUUGUUGCCAUUGAUGAAUGUCUUCUUGGUUUGUCAUAUUCUUGUUAAGAAGUGGGAGUAAAUAAUGUAGAGUUGUGUUAGUUGUGCUCUUGAUUUAUUUUAUUCUCUAUGUGAAGUUUGUUUCUUUGAGGGGGGUAUGUUUCUUGUGUGACAAGGGGAGUUAUUUUUGUGUUGCUGAUCAUGACAUUCAGAGGGAGUUUGAUCUGUUGUGUGCUUGUUGCGAUGUUAGACAAAAUGUCUUGACAUUUUGUUUUAGAAAAUUAUGUUGAUGCUUAGGCUGUUGUGUGCUUGAUGUGAUGUCAAACAAAAUGUCUUGACAUUUUGCUUGGAGUGUGAGAGUUUAUUUCUCUCUGUGUAUUUUAUGUGAGGUUGGGUUUCUACUACUUAUUUUUGUUGCAUGUGCCUAUGAUAUGUCUUGGUGUUAUACCAAGUGUUUGGUUGUUUGGUUUUUGUGCUUAUGAUUAUUGUUGUUGUUUUAUCUUUUAUCCAUCUAUAUGAUGCAAAGGUUAUUUUAGCCAAAAUUUGCCAAAGGGGGAGAUUGUUAGGUCCGUGCUUUUAUGAUUGCAACAAUUUUGUUAAAACAUGUAUCGCAACAAGAUGUUAAGCAAGAUGCUAUGACAUGUUGAUCAAACAUCUUUGUAGGUUUUGUUUUACUUCAUGGAAGAGUUGUUUUAUUAUGUGAUAUCUGAAGAUUCUCUGAAUAUUCGACUAUCAUAUCUGACUGUCCAAGAAGGUUUUUUUUAGGAACUCUUGUUUCGUUUCCAGUUGUGCACUUGUUUCAUAAAAAGGAAUGUUGAGACAUUUUAAGGAAACAUUAGAUCAUAUUUGAUUUGAUUUUGCAGAAGAUUGGGUAGACUGAAUAUCGAAACAUUUAAGGAAACAUUUGAUUUGAUUAUGCAGAAGAUUGUGCAUACUAGAUGUCGAAACAUUUAAGGAAACAUUUGAUUUGAUUCUGCAGAAGAUUGUGCAGAAUGGAUGUCAAAACAUUUAAGGAGACAUCAGAUUUGAUUAUGCAGAAUGGAUGUCAAAACAUUUAAGGAGAUAUCAUAUUUCAGUUUAUCAAAUAUUAUGUAGAACAGAUGUCAAAACAUUUAAGGAGACAUCACAUUUGAUUUGAUUUAUUUUGGAUAUGCUGAUUUUUAUGCCUAAGCACAUGCUUACCAAAGGCUAUUUAAAGAGGACGUUACUAAACCUAAUUGACAAAAGAGAGAGCUAAACUUGAGCAUUGGAAAAUUUAGGUUUUAGUUAUUUUUGUUAUUUGUGAGUCAUUCUAGUGUCUCCUUGAUACUUGAAUUGACUGAGUUUAUUGAGUUGUAAUUGUGAAUCACUCGUGAGAUUUUAAGCAAGAGUGUAUUUUGUGUCAUUAGAAGUGUGUGUUCUAUUCUUUGGGUUUUCAGUUGGUAUCAUUGUUGUGUGAAUGAAGGAAAGUGAGGUGGGUCUCAUAUCUAGGAGAGUCUUAGAUAGAAAUUCCAAGGGUAUUGAUUAGGUGAGAAGUUUGUAAAACCAGAGGUUGUUUAGAACUUAAAAUUAAUACUAUUAUAGUGUAUUUCUUUCUUGACUUGGAUGCCUCCAGAUGUAGGUGAGGUUGCACCUUACUAGGUUAACAGUUGACCUGUGUAUUUCUUUCUUUACUUCCUGCUUUUUAAAUUAUUAUUGUUGUGUGAAGUCCAGAUAUUAGUGUUGUGACAUCGCAUACGACAUCUGAUAUCUAUAAUCGGAAAAAUAGCAAGUGUGUUAUUUUCCCUUUUGUAGUAGUAAAGUGGAAAAUCCCCGAAUGUUGAUCUCAAGGACUGCAAGUAAAUAUCGAGUUCAAAUCAUCGUUCAAUUAAACAAAACUAGUGUCGGGAGCUUUAGAAUCAGAUUUAUAAAAAUAAACGCAAAAGAAAUUAAUAUUGUAAAUUAAGGGUUGCAAGGGAAGAGGAACAAUGCCAGGGGAGGUGUAUAAUUUGUCCCUGUAACAACUCUGAGUCAAUAUUGCAUCAACAAAUAUCAAUUACUAUCUGUUCUCAAGGGUAUUUUCUCCCAAGUCCUUGGUGAGAAAACCUUUAAUCAUUCAACCCUAAUUUCUAUGUCCAUAGGAAAUUAUCGGUGAAAUUAAGUCUUAUUAUAUCAAGAAUGCUUUGAUUCAUACAGGGUAUCCCAAGUUCUAGGUGCUAUCUACUGCAGAGUAAUCUUAUGAAAACCUUACCAAUGGCGGUCCAGCCUAAUUGAUAACCAUACAACAAAAACUCGAUUGGUCUAAAAGAGAAAGCAUUAAACACAUCAAAAGAUUACCGUAAAAACAAUAUUAUCAAUGCAAUCGUAAACUCAAAGUCAUUACAGAUCUAAAUCAGGGACACCCCCUAGCAUUGGGGGGUUUAGCUACUCAUAUUAUUCAAAACUGAUUCAAGAUAAAAAAAUACACAUUACAAGUAAUUGGAUGACUUGUAUCCUUAAUUGCUUCCGCUCAUGAAAAUCUUCCGCUCUCUGAAUUCCUUGAUCUCUGUAAUUCUUGAUCGUCUGACAAUUCUAUGUGUUAUGUGUUCUCUUCAUUCCAAAGUAUCUUCUUCUCUCAUAGAAACUCUCCUAAAAUAGUGAAAAAAUCCCUUGGGAAAGGCUGGAAAUCCCCAAAACGUCCUUGUAACUCAAGCCCGGGCAAAAAGCCCAAAAAUUGGAAGAUUUUGCGCCUGGGAUGCACGGCCUGUGUCAACUGACACGAGUGGCUGUGUCAGGCCCCUGUCUUGGAUAUUUCUUGUAUUUACUUUGCCUUCCUCCUGGCAUGGCCCAUGUUAGGAGACACGGGUGGUCGUGUCAGGCCUCCUGUACUGAAAAAUCUCCUUUCCUCGAACUCCGAAUCUUUCCACUUUUUCGCAUUGAGUCCGUUGGAUCUUCUAUGUGUACCUGGAGGGCAUAACACAGAAAACCAAAGCAUAAAAUCCCAAAAACACAAAAUAAAACUAAAAAUUGAUAAAAUGCUUAAAUAACUUACGGAAAUGAAAACUAACUUAAAAGGUGCCAUAAUGUGCACAUAGUGUUCCAUAAUCCUUGGUUUCUUGUCGAAUAAGUAAUGAAAACAAAAUUAAAAUGGUGACCGGUCACAACCCCAAACUUAGCUUAUUACGUGUCCUCAAGUAAUGUUCUACACGACAAAGUGUGCACUUUCCAAAAUUGAAUUCUUACCACAAUACUGCUGAGAUCUUUCGCCAACGCAUUCAUUCUCCCUUUCAUAGUCCCUGCUUUUCCUAAUGAGUUUUCUACCACACUUCCACAUUUAUGUACCGCUUCACCUGUCAGCUUAUAUCACACUCUCUCCAAGUAUUUUUUGGUUAAAGUGUAUAAACUCACAUUUCAGAAUAUGCAAUAUCAACUCAUAAAUUUGAAUAGUUUCUCCUUUCGUAUCAACUACACACAACACACACUUUUUGAGAUCUUUUGGGUUGUAACGGGGCUUGGGUUACGGUGGGGUAAAUACAAACAAAAGUGAAAAUAAGUGGUUUGGGUUUAGAGCCAAUGUCAUUAUUUUUUCACUGUGUUUGUUCUACAUCUCAUUUCCAAUUCUUUUCUUUUUCAGUUUGUAUUGCUUCGUUCUCCUUUUUUCUUUGAUUUUCUAUUCUCUCUUUUUCUCAACUGAGUGUUUCUCAUUCGGUGAGAGCUUUUCUCGUACCAUCGAAGAUUUUUUUUCCUUUUGUUUUUUUUUUUUUUCGAUGGUCGUUUUUCUUAUUAUUCACUCAUCUUACUUUCAUAUACUUAUGGGGUUACCCCAAACUUAGAAUUUUAGCACAGCUUUAAGAUGUGUGGUCUGUUAAUAAAUCCUCCUUCCAUGGUACCAGAAAGUAUCUCCCUGGAGCUCACACAAAACAAAAUAGGGUGCCUACUCUGAUGCCAAUUGAAAUUCUGGUACGCAAAUAUUGAAGGUGAGAAAAACAAGAAGGGGGUUUGAAUUGUUUUGGAAAUAAAAGCUUUUUCAAAAAUAAGACCACACAGAAUUUUAUACUGGUUCGCUUAGAAAACAAAGUUACUCCAGUCCACCCGGCCAAGGUGAUUUCGCCUUCAAAAAAGACUUAAUCCACUAAUCUUGAAAGAUUACACAACCAAUCGUCUUAAGAGAAUAAUCUCUUGGCCCUCUCAAGUAUACAGACUGCGCAGAGUCACUUGAGGAACAAAAUAAUUUAAGCAAAAUAGAGUUGUAAUGUAAACAGCUUCUAAGUGUAAGCGAGUAUUACAAAGAAGUAUUAGAACAAGAGUUUUUCACAUAAGAGCAGCAGCUCGUGAAAAAAAUGAGAGAAUAUGAAUGAAGUUUCUGUGUGUUGCAGAUGUGUCUCUCUAGUGAGGUAAAUUGUCCUUUAUAUAGUAGUUGAGAAGGACCGUUGGAGUGAUGACAGAAUCUUGGUCUUUGAUGAGUAUUCAAUGUCAUUACUUAUGUGUUUCUUUCUAUAACCAUUUUGUCUGCCGGUUAAAUUCUUUCUUAAAAUACUUUCUUUCCAUAGUGAGAAUUAUUUUCGUUAUGCUUUCUGGACUUGUGCAUCUUUAUCAGAGUCUUUGAUGUACCAGAGUUAUUCUUCAGAGGAUGAUCACGUCUAACUUCGUCAGAGCUUCUCAGAGUACUAGUCUUCUUAAGUAACAGAGUCUAAGACCAGUCAUUUGUUGAAGCUUCUGGUUCUUUUUGCUGUCUUUCUUUGAUCAGAAUCAGAACUUCUUGGACGUACUCCUUUCUUAGCGGCGUCUGAUCCUUUAAUACUUUGUAUCUGACAUACAUUUGUAUCUGAUAUGUGAUCAGAGUUCUUCAUAACUUAUUCAGAGUCCUGCGUGAAUGUUCAGAUUCUUGCGUGAAUGUUUAGAUUCCUGCAUGAAUGUUCAGAGUCCUGCAUACUUAGAAAAAAUCUCGUUAGAGUGCCAUUUUUGGUUUCAUCCUUUGUUAUCAUCAAAAUCUUAGAAAUCUAUUGUAGAACCAGUUUUGUUCUUAUUCGUUAGAGUGCCAUUUUUGGUUUCAUCCUUUGUUAUCAUCAAAAUCUUAGAAAUCUAUUGUAGAACCAGUUUUGUUCUUACAAUCUCCCCCUUUUUGAUGAUGACAAAACAGUUUAAUUUAGAGAUGAAACAUUUUCAGAAAAGAGUCUUAGAUCAGAUUUGUAGUGAGCUCCCCCUAAGUUAGAUCUGGGAGUUCAGAAGUUCUUACCGGACCUUCCAUGAUUUGGUGUUUCUAGUUACUUUCCUGCAUAUCUUUAAGUCAUAAUAUUUGUAGAGUUUGAAAGGAAUUAAAUAUGUUUUCAUCAGAGCUGUUUUUAGUUCUCCUCCUUUUUGUCAGAAUCAAAAAGACUUAGCAAAAAAGAUAUUAGCAAAAGGUUGAUAUCGACAAGUAACAUUUACAGGAGCCAGAAACGCCGAAAGCAAACAUGGAAGCAAAAAGCAACAAGAAGAGCAGAUAAAACAACAAGCAAAUCAGAAGGAAAAAAUCCUAGGUGCCUAAGGGUUUGGAGGAAGAGGCAUCCUCUGGAGCAGCUUGGACAGCAUGUUCUGAAUGUUGACAUUGAUAGAAUCUUGUUGGUCCAGUCUGGCUCGGACUACCUGUUGUUCUUUCUGCAGCUCUUCAAGGGUCUUCAGGACCAGAGGGACGAAGGUGGAGGACUCCCCAUGGGUUAGUGCAUCAUUUCUGACCUUGGAAACAGACUCUUCAGCACGGCGAGCUGCUUCUUCAGCGGCAGCUUUGGCUUUUGCCUCAGCUUCAGCAGCAGCAACAUCAGCAAGAGCUUUGGCUUCAGCUUCUUUGAUUCUCUGAAGUUCUUCUUGCCUUGCUUUCUCUUCAGCUUCCUUUCUUGCCUGCUCAUUAGCUUCUCUAGCUAGACGCUCCUCGAGUCUGAUCUCAGUGUCUCUGAUGAAGUCAUUGCGGACUUGUUCAGAGAGGCCUUUCAGCUUGAAGGCUUCAGAAAUCAUCCAACUUAUCACUCUGUUCCAGUGAGUCCUUACAGCGGAGGGAUCAUCACUGAUGCCAAAUUUGAUGGUCAGAGACCUGACCUUGUCAACUGAAGAUUCUGCAAAAACUUUAAUUGCUUCCUCAAUGGUCAGAAGGGUGGUUUCUAGUUCAAAGGUUUGGGAGGGAGAAGUGGGAGGGCUUAAAUGAAGUGUGGGAGUUGGUGGGUCAACGGAGGUAGUUGGUUGGGGUAUUUCAGAGUGUUGUGGUUGGGAUGGUUGUGAUUCAGAGUGGAUUGGUUCUGAUGGUGGAGGGUCAGAGGUGGUUGUGUUUGGGUUUUCUGGGGAUAGAGAGGUAACUUCUAGUUCGGGGUUAGAGUGGGUUGGCUGUUGAGAGGCUAGAGCACGGUUUUGGAGUUGAGCCAGAGUUGGAGAGUGAGGGUCAGAAGGUUUAGUGUCAGAUGAGAGAGUGUAGUAAGGUGGGGAUUGUGGAGAUGGUGAUGAGGAGGGUGAGGUGGUUUCGUUCAGCAUUUUUGAUUCUGAAACAGGUAGAGAUGUGGUGGCAAGAUUGAAUUUUUGAGAAGGUUAGUUAGAGGGUCUAGAGGUUGAGGGAGGAGUUUCAGAGGUUGUGUAUACGGGCGAAGGUUGAGGGAGUAAGGAAGCAACUGGUUUAAUUUUUAUAGAAGGAGGGAGAGGUACAGAUUUACCAGGUGAUCCAACCAGAGGUACUGGAGGUCUUGAUCCAGAUGGUUCUCCCAGCUUUGCUCUCUUUGCCUGCUUUGUCUUCUCAGAAGAUUCUCGUGUCCUCUUCAUGAAAUCUGGAGGAAAUUCAGGCAGCCAGUCUAAGGAGAAAUAUGAGAUGUAUACUCCUUGUUUGCGCAGAUCCUCUAAAUAGUAUGCAACUACCUCUGGAGGGUCGAUCUUUAAGAACAGAUAAAGUCCAUUUGGGAUCUCCCUCUGAUCUUUAAGUGUUUCCCAGGAGGUGUCCAAAGUUGGUUUGACCCUGACUUGAUUAAUAAUUCCCAUGCUCUUCAGAUUGCGAGUUUUCAGAGGUCUUCCAGUAUCUAUCAUCAUGUCUUCCAUGAGUCUGAGCUAUAUCAGAUGGUCCACGGGGCCACUUUCAAUCAGCACAUCAGAUAUAAGUCUCCCCAGAGGAAUGCAAUUUCUUGUCUUCAUGUUGUUUCUGGUAUCUUUCACGGAGUCUCUGAGAUAUUUUAACAGGAUUGCAGGAAGGCAGAGCUUCAGACCCUUGUGAAUGUAGUACAGAAUGCAUUUAUGGUCUGUGUUGAUGUAAUCUGAGGAGUUGGAGGCUGGGAGGUGAUGGAUGGUGCCUAAGAUGAUCUUCAUCCAUACCUGGAGGUUCUGAUGCAAUUCCUUGUUCUUGAAAUGCUUGCCUUCAGCACUCUGUUGAAAAAUUGUAGGGUUUAUCUCAUGAGAAAGAUACUUUGCCCUAGGAUUGAUGUUUUAUAUGCGUCUUCCUCCAGUCUUCUCCAUGUUUAGAAGAGCAGCAAUUGAUUUCUCUGUGAUGACUAUCUUGACUCCCAGAACGUAGGAGACAAUGUAGUGAUCGUCAGUGUCAACGAACCUCAAGAAUUCUUUUACCAGAUUAGUGUAGACUGAGCCAUAGAGACGUUGAAAGUAGUUUUCCCACCCUUGCUUCUUCAGUUCAUCAGUGAGGUCGACACCAUUUCUUCUCAUGUUGUCAAAAUCCACCAAGGUUUCACACAACACUUCCAGCUUUUCAAACAGAGUUUAGCACAAAAACCAAGUACGCAUGUUAGAGGGAGAAUGAUUACAACUCAUAAAUGAUGUCUAAUCCCAAAACCAGCACACUGCUCGAGGAGAUCUUAAGAGACUAUUUCUUGAUUACUGCUAGACAGUUGUCUAGAAGUUCCAAGGUCAAACGCAUGAGGCUUCACAUGUUACUUUAUCUGAUCUUCAGGAAUACCAAAGAGUUGGUUCUUGGAGAUUUCUAACUCAUAUGACUUCUAACUGGUAGUAGCAUCGGAGUCAGAUACAGAAUCCAACUGUUUAUUUCAGAGUCUUAUUUUGCUGUCUCAUAGGCACAUUUUAUUCAGGAUAAUUUUGAAUAUUUAGAUUCUUUAAGAUAAAGAAGAAUAUAUCUCCAAUAAGGGGUUUGGUGAAGAUGUCAGCCCAUUGAUGGUCUGUAUCAAUAAAUUUUAACAUUACUACCCCUUUCUGAACAUAGUCUCUAAUGAAAUGAUGUUUUAUUUCUAUGUGCUUAGCUCUAGAGUGCAAAAUAAGAUUCUUACUUAAACAGAUGGCAGCAAUAUUGUCACAGAAGAUAGGAUUGUUACUCUCAAAGAUUUGAAGAUCCUCUAGUUGAUUCUUCAUCCAGAGCAUCUGAGUAGUGCAUAAUGAUGCUGAAAUAUAUUAUGCUUCUGCAAUGGACAAGGCUAUGGUUGAUUUUCUUUUGUUGGCCCAGGAUAUCAGAUUCUUUCCCAAGAGCUGACAAUUUCCAGAUGUACUUUUACAUUCCAUUCUGUCCCCUGCGUAAUCUGCAUCAUAAUAACCAGAAAGUCUAUACUUUGAUGUUUUCUCAUACAUCAGGCCCAUGUUAGGAGUUCCUUUCAGAUAUCUGAGUAUUCUUUUAAUAGCUGUUAAAUGAGAUUCUCUAGGUUCUGAUUGGAAUCUGGCACAGAGACAUACACUAAACAGAAUAUCAGGACGUGUAGCAGUUAGAUAGAGAAGAGAGCCUAUCAUACCACGAUAGAGCUUCUGACAAACCUUUUGACUAACUUCAUCUUUUUCCAGAAUGCAAGUUGGAUGCAUGGGUGUCUUAGCAGGUUUGCAUUCCGCCAUUUCAAAUUUCUUCAGAAUGUCUUUUAUGUACUUACUUUGAUGAACAUAGGUGGCUUCUGAAGCUUGAUUGAUUUGAACUCCUAGAAAGAACUUUAGUUCUUGCAUUAAGCUCAUUUCAAAUUCUGCCUGCAUUAGCUCAGAGAAUUCUUGGCAUACAGAGGGGUUAGCUGAACCAAAAAUGAUGUCAUCAACAUAUAUAUGGCAUAUCAUGAGGUCAUUAUUAAUGUUUUUACAGAAGAGUAUAGAGUCAACUUUCCCUCUGAUAAAAUCAUGUUCCAGAAGAAAAUUACUUAGCCUUUCAUACCAAGCUCUAGGAGCUUGUUUUAGUCCGUAUAAAGAUUUCUUAAGUUUAAAAACAUGUUAUGGACAAUUUGAAUUUUCAAAACCUGGAGGUUGAUUGACAUACACUUCUUCUGAUAUAUAGCCAUUAAGAAAUGCGCUCUUGACAUCCAUUUGAUAUAGUUUGAUAGAGUGAUUUACAGAGAAUGAAACAAGUAAGCGAAUAGAUUCUAACCUGGCGAUUGGGGCAAAGGUUUCAUUGUAGUCAAUCCCUUCUUGUUGACUGUACCCUUGAGCCACCAGUCGAGCUUUAUUUCUGACGACUUCGCCUUUCUCAUUUAGCUUGUUUCUGAAUACCCAUCUGGUUCCAAUAAUGUGAGUGCCUUUGGGUUUGGGAACAAGAUCCCAGACGUCAUUCUUUGAGAAUUGAUCUAGCUCUUCUUGCAUGGCUAGAACCCAGUCAUCAUCUUGAAGUGCCUCAUCAUAGGAAGUAGGCUCGAUCAGAGAUACUAGUCCCAGAGGGGUUUCUUCAGGUACUUUGAAGGUUGACCUAGUUCGGAUAGGUUCAUCCUUGUUUCCCAGAAUCAACUCUUCAGAUAUAUUGGGGCGACUUGAUGAUUUCUUUUGGAUCGUUGGGGCUUUAGAUUCUUCUGAACUUUGUAUAUCAUAUAUUUUUGGUGCUUUGAUCUUCUCGUCAGAACCUGUAAGAGUAAUCUCCAGAUCUGCAAGUUUCUCAACUAGCUUUGACUUUUCAGGGUCAAGCUUAUCAUCAAAUCUGACGUGAAUUGAUUCUUCCAUAAUUUUGGUUUCUGUAUUGUAUACUUUGUAGCCUUUAGAGCGUUCUGAGUAUCCUAACAUAAUACCUUUUUGUGUUUUUGAAUCAAACUUGUUCAGAUGUUCUUUAGUGUUCAGAAUAAAGCAAGAGCAUCCAAACGGAUGAAAAUAAGAAAUGCUGGGUUUUCUUCCUUUACACAGUUCAUAGGGAUUCUUUUCUAGAAUAGGUCUUAUGGAGAUUCUAUUCUGAAUAUAGCACGCUGUAUUUACUGCUUCGGCCCAAAAGUGCUUAGCCACAUUUGUUUCAUUGAUCAUGGUUUUGGCCAUCUCUUGGAGUGUCCUAUUCUUCCUUUCUACAACUCCAUUUUGUUGUGGAGUUCUAGGACAGGAGAAAUCAUGGGAUAUUCCAUUAGAGUCAAAUAAUUCUUCAAAAAAUUUAUUUUCAAAUUCUCCACCAUGAUCACUUCUGACUCUGAUGAUUUUAGAGUCAAAUUCGUUUUGCACUUAGGAACAGAAGCUAGUGAAAACAGAGUGAGACUCACUCUUGUGCUUUAAGAAUUUUACCCAUGUCCAGCGACUAAAAUCGUCAACAAUAACUAAUCCAUAUUUCUUCCCAUUGACUGAUGAUGUUUUAACAGGACCAAACAAAUCAAUGUGAAUAAGUUCCAGAGGCUUAGAGGUAGAAACAAUAUUUUUCUUUUUAAAAUAUGAUUUUGAAAAUUUUCCUUUCAGACAUGCUUCACAUAGAGCAUCUGAAGAAAACUUCAGUUUAGGUAGACCUCUGACUAGCUCGAGUUUAUUUAGCUGAGAUAGCUUUCUCAUACUAAUGUGGCCCAAGCGUCUAUGCCAUGCCCAUUACUCUUCAUGAACAGACAUUAAACAUUUUACAUUUUGUUCUUUUAGGUCUGAAAGAUUUAUUUUACAAAUAUUGUUUUCCUCUUGCCAGUGAAUAAGACUGUUCCAUUGUUCUGAUUAAUUGCUUUACAUGUUUUUUGAUUGAAGAUUACGUCAUACCCGUUAUCACUUAAUUGACUUAUUGAUAACAGAUUAUGCAUUAAUCCUUCUACAUAGAGAACAUCAUGAUUACGUCAUACCCGUUAUCACUUAAUUGACUUAUUGAUAACAGAUUAUGCAUUAAUCCUUCUACAUAGAGAACAUCAGAUAUAGAGGGAAGAGUACCAUUACCAAUAGUUCCGGAGCCUCUGAUCUUUCCUUUCUGAUUUCCUACGAAACCUACAAAUACAGCAUCUUUAAGUUCCAGGUUUUGGAACAUAUACUUUCUUCCCGUCAUGUGUCGCGAGCAUCCAGAGUUCAGGUACCAUGACUGGUGUUUUAACUCUUCUGCAUAAGAUAUCUGCAACAUAAACAAUCUUAUCCUUUGGUACCCAGAAUCUUUUGGGUCCUUUGUUAUUAGGUUUUCCAGAGUUUCUUAACACUUUGGGUUUUCUAGCAUUAUCAAAGCGUUGUGCUUGUGUAUGUGUAUAGUGAUAGGAAAACGGAGAUUUAGGUUUGUCAUUAGUAGAAGUUUUAUCUUCACUACGAUCAUACCCAAUUCCUCUUCAAUUGUUCUGACUGACCCCAUAAAUCAUGGAGCCAUUCUGCUUCUCUCUAUCCCAUUCUUCAGAAACUUUUGAAAAGAUUUUUCAUAUUCAUAAAUUACUGUGUUUGAAGUUUGUGGAGCUUGAGAUAACGCUUCUUCAAGUUUUGAGAAUUGUUUAUUUGUGGAAUCUCUUUCUAAUGUCAAAAUUCGGUUUUCAUCUUUUAGAUCUGAAACUGUUAUCUCAAGUUUACCACAUUCUUCGAGGGUUUCUUCAAGCACCUCUUUUACAGCUUUGAAUUUUUGUUUAAGUUUCUAAUAUGAGUUUAGAGUUUCAGAUAGGCACGAUUCGAGGUCAGAGCGAGAAAGAUCAGAAAAUACCUCUUCGGAUUCAGAUUCUCCAUCUGAAGUAUUCCUGGAGGUGGUAGCCAUGAGUGCCACAUUUGCCUGUUCAUCAGAGUCUGAUUCUGAUGAGUCAGAUCCACUAUCAUCACAGGUAGCCAUCAGUCCCUUUUUGGUUCUGAAGGAACUUUUCUUGAAGUUCUCUUUUCUGGAGCUUUCUUUCUUCAACUUGGGACAUUCGUUUCUGUAAUGACCUAUUUCCUUACAUUCAUAACAUAUUAUAUCUUUGUUAGAUUUACCUUUUGAAGUUGGUUCUGAUCGAUCUCCUUUGGAUCUUGGUCUUCUGAAGUUGUUAUUCCUUUUUCUCCAGAGUUGUUUUACUCUUCUGGUUAAAAGGGAUAAUUCUUCCUCAUCGUCAGAGUCUUCCUUUUCAGAGUCAUCAAUGACUUCUUCUUCAGCCUGGAAGGCUUUGUUUCUAUCAGACUUGCGUCUUUCUGAUAUGGACUUUAGUGCUACAGACUUGAUCUUCUUCUGAGGCUAAUCUUCCUCCAGUUCUAUCUCGUGACUUCUGAGUGAACUGAUGAGUUCUUCAAGGCUGAUGUUGUUCAGAUCCUUUGAUAGUUUUAAGGUUGUGACCAUAGAUCUCCAUUUCUUUGGCAAGCUUCUGAUGAUCUUCUUGACAUGGUCCGCAGUUGUAUAUCCUUUAUCUAGCACUUUGAUUCCUGCAAUUAAAGUUUGGAAUCUAGAAAACAUUACCUCUACAGCUUCAUCGUCCUCCAUUUUGAAGGCUUCAUAUUUCUGGAUUAGAGCCAGACCCUUUGUUUCUUUAACUUGAGAGUUUCCUUCGUGAGUCAUCCUCAAGGAGUCAAGUAUCUCUUUAGUUGUUUCCCUGUUGGUGAUUUUUUCAUACUCAUUGUAGGAAAUGGCAUUGAGAAGUAUCGUUCUGGCUUUGUGAUGGUUCUUGAAUUCACGCUUCUGAUCAUCUGACUCAUUGUAGGAAAUGGCAUUGAGAAGUAUCGUUCUGGCUUUGUGAUGGUUCUUGAAUUCACGCUUCUGAUCAUCUGACAUUUUGCUUCUGGGAAUAGCAACUCCAGCAUCUGUUACAGGUGGUAUGUAGCCAAUUGUGACAAUGUCCCAGAGAUCAGCGUCGUAGCCCAGAAAGAAACUUUCAAUUCUGUCUUUCCAAUAAUCAAACUUCUCUCCAUCAAAGACUGGAGGUUUAGCGUUGUAACUAUCUCUUUCAUUGGUGUUGGCCAUAGUUUCUCACUCUGGAUCUCUCUACAAUGUUAAGUGUUUGAUUAGAAAAUCAAUAACAAAGCCGAAGCUCUGAUACCAACUGAAGGUGAGAAAAACAAGAAAGCGGGGUUUGAAUUGUUUUGGAAAUAAAAGCUUUUUCAAAAAUAAGACCACACAGAAUUUUAUACUGGUUCGCUUAGAAAACAAAGUUACUCCACUCCACCCGGCCAAGGUGAUUUCGCCUUCAAAAAGGACUUAAUCCACUAAUCUUGAAAGAUUACACAACCAAUCGUCUUAAGAGAAUAAUCUCUUAGCCCUCUCAAGUAUACAGACUGCGCGGAGUCACUUGAGGAACAAAAUAAUUUAAGCAAAAUAGAGUUGUAAUGUAAAGCGCUUAUAAGAGUAAGCGAGUAUUACAAAGAAGUAUUAGAAAAAGAGUUUUUCACGUAAGAGCAGCAGCUCGUGAAAAAAAAUGAGAGAAUAUGAAUGAAGUUUCUGUGCGUUGCAGAUGUGUCUCUCUAGUGAGGUAAACUGUCCUUUAUAUAGUAGUUGAGAAGGACCGUUGGAGUGAUGACAAAAUCUUGGUCUUUGAUGAGUAUUCAAUGUCAUUACUUCUGUGUUUCUUUCUAUAACCUUUUUGUCUGUCGGUUAAAUUCUUUCUUAAAAUACUUUCUUUCCAUAGUGAGAAUUAUUUCCGUUAUGCUUUCUGGACUUGUGCAUCUUUAUCAGAGUCUUUGAUGUACCAGAGUUAUUCUUCAGAGGAUGAUCACGUCUGACUUCGUCAGAGCUUCUCAGAGUACUAGUCUUCUUAAGUAACAGAGUCUAAGACCAGUCGUUUGUUGAAGCUUCUGGUUCUUUUUGCUGUCUUUCUUUGAUUAGAAUCAGAACUUCUUGGACGUACUCCUUUCUUAGCGGCGUCUGAUCCUUUAAUACUUUGUAUCUGACAUACGUUUGUAUCUGAUAUGUGAUCAGAGUCCUUCAUAACUUGUUCAGAAUCCUGCGUGAAUGUUCAGAUUCCUUCGUGAAUGUUCAGAUUCCUGCAUGAAUGUUCAGAGUCCUGCAUACUUAGAAAAAAUCUCGUUAGAGUGCCAUUUUUGGUUUCAUCCUUUGUUAUCAUCAAAAUCUUAGAAAUCUAUUGUAGAACCAGUAUUCCUGCAUGAAUGUUCAGAGUCCUGCAUACUUAGAAAAAAUCUCGUUAGAGUGCCAUUUUUGGUUUCAUCCUUUGUUAUCAUCAAAAUCUUAGAAAUCUAUUGUAGAACCAGUUUUGUUCUUACAAAUAUCAAAUGUCGUAUGCGAUGUCACGACACUAAUAUCUGGACUUCACACAAAAAUAAUAGUGUAAGAAGCAGGAAGUAAAUAACACGGGUCAAUUGUUAAACCACUUCGGUGCAACAUCACCUACAUCUGGAAACAUCCAAACCAGGAAGAAAAUCCACUAUAAUAGUAUUAGUUUGAAGUUCUAAACAAUCUCUGGUUUUACAAACUUCUCACCUAAUCACUACCCUUAGAAUUACUAUUUAAGACUCUCCUAGAUAUGAGACCCUUUCAUAUCCCUUUAAUCACACAGCAAUGACAAAAAUUAAAAACAAUAAAAGAACAGAAGACACACUUCCAAUGACACAAAAUAUACUCUUGCUUAAAAGCUCAUGAGUGAUUCAAAGUUACAACUCAAUAAACUUAGUCCAAUUCAAGUAUCAAGGAGAUAGUAGAAUGGCUCACAAAUAACAAAAAGAAUUAAAACUCUAAUUUUCCAAUGCUCAAGUGUAGCUCUCUCUUCUAUCAAUUAGGUUUAGUAACGUCAUCUUUAAAUAGCCUUUGGUAAGCAUGGGCUUAAGGAUAAAAAUCAGUAGAUCCAAAACAAAUCAAAUCAAAUCAAAUUUGAUGACUCCUUAAAUGUUUUGACAUUUGUUCUGCAUAAUAUUUGAUCAAAUCAAAUUUGAUGUCUUCUUAAAUGUUUUGACAUCCAUUCUACAUAAUCAAAUAUGAUGUCUCCUUAAAUGUUUUGACAUCAAUUCUACACAAUCUUCUGCAGAAUCAAAUCAAAUGUUUCAACAUCCAGUAUGCAUAAUCUUCUGCAUAAUCAAAUCAAAUGUUUCCUUAAAUGUUUCGACAUACACUCUGCACAAUCUUCUACAGAAUCAAAUCAAUAUGAUCUAAUAAUUCCUUAAAAUGUCUCAACAUCCCUUUUUAUGAAACAAGUACACAGCUAGAAACGAAACAAGAGUUCCUAAAGAAACCUUCUUGGAUAGUCAUAUAUAAUAGCUGAAUAUUCAGAGAAUCUUCAAAUAUCUCAUAAUAAAAUAAGUCUUCCAAGAAGUAAAACAAACCUGCAAAUAUGUCUGAUCAACAUGUCACGACAUCUUUCUCAACAUAUUAUUAUGAUACAUAUUUUAACCAAAAAACUUCCAAUCAUAAAAGCACAGACCUAACAAUCUCCCCCUUUGGAAAAUUUCGGCUAAAACAACCUUUGCAUCAUAUAGCUGGAGAAAAGAUAAAACAGCAGCAAUAAUCACAAGCACAAAAACCAAACAACAAAAUACUUGGUAUAACACCAAGACAUAUCAGAGGCACACGCAGUAGAAAUAAGUAGUUGAAACUCAGUCUCACAAAAAAUACAUAGACAGAAAUAAACUCUCACACUCUAAGAAAAAUGUCAAUACAUUUUGUCUAACAUCAUAGCAAGCACACAACAGCCUAAGCACAAACAAAAUUCUCUUAAACAAAAUGUCAAUACAUUAUAUCUUACAUCCCAGCAAGUACACAACAGAUCAAACUCCCAAUGAAUGUCAUGAUCAACAACAUAAAAAUAACCCCCCCUGUCACAUAGGAAACAUACUCCCACUCAAAGAAACAAUGUUCACAUAGAGAAUAAAAUAAAUCAAUAGCACAACAUUACAUUAUCUACUCCCCAUUUUUAGUCAGAAUAUGACAAACCAAGCAGACAUUCAUCAAUGGCAACAAAAUAAUAGAUCAAAGCAGUAGUAGAACAUGUGAGUUACAGGUACAUACCAUGGGACACAGAUAUGCAAUAUUCAGGGAAAAGGCCCACAAGAAAAUACAAAAUCAAACAGAAACACAAACAGCUCAAAUGUUAGCAGUAGCAUCUGAUUCAUUCCUUGUUGGCUCAAUGUUUGACUCAAUGUCUUCCAUAUUUUCUAAAGAAUCAAUCUGUGGAGAUGAUGUUCCAACAUCUUUAUUGACAUCAGUCCCUUUUACAAUAAUUGAAUCAUCAACCACAACAUUAAUGGAUUCCAUCACGCCCAUGGUUUUGGAGUUAAAUAACCUGUAAGCUCUACUGUUUGUAGAGUAACCAAGAGAUAUCGCUUUGAGAUUCAUAUGUCCAAGAUUCUGGUGCCACAACUUGACUUCAUCUUCCUUGGACAUUAGGCAUAUGGAAGAGCAAGUAGUUUCAUGUGGAACAACCUUGGGUUUCCACUCCUUUCUAGUUUUAAUCACUACAUGAUUAGCCCUAAGAUAUGUUGGAUGUUUUGGAUAACCAUACAGUUUGCAGCAGAAAGGUUUUAUAUGUCCAUCUUUACCAUAGUAAUGAUAUUUCCAAUGCAAAAACUUGACUUUAGUUUGAGUUUCAUGAUGUCUGGUAGGAUGUUAUAUCAUUUAGUCGGACAUCAUGGGCUCAUUCUUCGUUUCUGGAGGAAUAAAUUUUGUCACGAGGGUUUUUCCUAGUUUAUUUUUAUAUUGGUAAUUAAAACCUAUACCUUUUAAGUUUCCAGCCCCUUUUUACAACUUGAAGAAUUUCAUCUAGCAUAUCAGACCCACUGUUCAACAUUCUUAUGGAUUUAGUCAUGUUUUCAAGUUUAGAAGACAAUAUAGUUACCUCAUUUUCAAGAUCAGUGACAGUAGAUAAAAGUUUCUCUUUUUCAGCAUGUAGUUGAGCUAUAACUCUCUUUUACUCUUCCCCUGUCUUACACACCUCUUCACUUUUGACACAAAUCUCUUUGUAGGAAACGGCCAAGAGACAUACUCAUCAUAAGAAUCUUCAUCAAAUUCAUAUAUACCAGUGAAAGUUGUAACAUGCUUAGCAUUUCCAUCAUCAGUUUCACCUUCAAAAUCAUCAUACAAGCCCUUCUUUUAUUUCUUGAUAUAUGUGGGACAUUCUGAUCUAAAGUGACCAAAACUCUCACAUUCAUGACAUUGAAUACCUUUUCCUUUAUUAGGCUUUUAUUUUGUUCUUGCUUUUCUCUGAGAAUCAUUGUUCUUAAUGAUGUCGAAUGACAUGUUCUUGACAUUGGGUCUUGACUUCUAUCUAUUUUAUUCAACACCUUAUCAAAUUACAUCCCAAGAAGUACAAUGGCAUUAUAAAUUCCUUCAUCAGUCUCCAAGUCACAUUGAUCCUCUUCAUUCUCAGUAUUGGAGAUAAAAGUUAUGCUUUUGUUCUUCUUUUCAGAUCUAUCAUCGAUAGCCCAUUAAAAAGUUUGAAGUGACCCAAUAAGCUCACCCACUCUCAUGUUACAAAUGUCUUGGGCUUCUUCAAUAGUUGUGACCUUCAUGUCAAAUUUCUUAGGUAUGGACCUGAGACUUUUUCUAACCAUCUUUUCUUCUAACAUCUUCUCUCCCAAGGCACUAGAUGAAUUUCCUAUUUCAAGAACAUUCAUGUGGAAAUCAUGAAUACUCCCAUUAUCUUUCAUCUUUACAUUCUCAAAUCUGGUAGUGAGAAGCUGAAGUCUAGACAUCUUCACUUUAGAUGUGUCUUCAUGGAUAGUUCUGAGGUUUCCCAUGCAUCUUUGGCCAUAGUACAUGUGUUUCUUAACCUGAAUAUGUUUUUAUCAACUCCAUUGAAUAGACCAUUCAAAGCUUUGGAGUUUCCAAGAUUCAGUUCAUCUUCUUGCUUAGACCAGUCCUCUUCAGGCUUCAAGGUAGUAGUAGUCUUCCCAUCUAUGUCCUUCACAACAGGAUGUCCCCAACCCUUGAUGUCAUAUUUCCAAGUCUUGUUAUCCAUAGAUUUAGGAAUUCCACCAUAUGCGCCUUCCAAUAGCCAUAGUUGGUGCCAUCUAAGAUGGUUGGUCUGUUAACAAAUCAUCAUUUCAUGGUACCAGAAAGUAUCUCCCUGAAGCUCACCCGAAACAAAAUAGGGGUCUUGCUCUGAUGCCAAUUGAAAUUCUGGUACACAGAUAUCAAAUGUCGUAUGUGAUGUCACGACACUAAUAUCGGGACUUCACACAAUAAUAAUAGUGUAAAAAGUAGGAAGUAAAUAAUACAAGUCGAUUGUUAACCCAGCUCAGUGCAACGUCACCUACAUCUGGGGGCAUCCAAUCCAGGAAGGAAAUUCACUAUAAUAGUAUUAGUUUGAAAUUCUAAAUAACCUAUGGUUUUACAAACUUCUCACCUAAUCACUACCCUUGGAAUUUCUAUCUAAGACUCUCCUAGAUAUGAGACCCCUCUCACUUCCCUUUAAUCACACACCAGUGAUAACAACUGAAAACAAUCAAAGAACAGAAGACACACUUUCAAUGAUACAAAAUACACUCUUUCUUAAAAGCUCAUGAGUGAUUCACAAUUAUAACUCAAUAAACUCAGUCCAAUUCAAGUAUCAAGGAGAUACUAUAAUGGCUCACAAAUAAUAAAAAUAACUAAAACCCUAAUUUUCCAAUGCUUAAGUGUAGCUCUCUCUUCUGUCAAUUAGGUUUAGUAACGUCAUCUUUAAAUAGCCUUUCAUAAGCAUAGGCUUAGACAUAAAAAUCAGCAGACUCGAAACAAAUCAAAUCAAAUAUGAUGUCUCCUUAAAUGUCUUGACAUUUGUUCUCCAUAAUAUUUGAUCAAAUCAAAUAUGAUGUCUCCUUAAAUGUUUUAAGAUUCAAUCUGGAUAAUCAAAUUUGAUGUCUCCUUAAAUGUUUUGACACCCAUUCUGCACAAUCUUCUGCAUAAUCAAAUCAAAUAUUUCCUUAAAUGUUUCGACAUCCAGUAUGCACAAUCUUCUGCAGAAUCAAAUCAAAUGUUUCCUUAACUGUUUCAACAUCCAGUCUGCACAAUCUUCUGCAUAAUCAAAUCAAACCUGGUCUAAUGUUUCCUUAAAAUGUCUCAACAUCCCUUUUUAUGAAACAAGUGCACAGCUGGAAACGAAACAAGAGUUCCUAAAAAAACCUUCUUGGAUAGUCAGAUAUGAUAGCUGAAUAUUCAGAGAAUCUUCAGAUAUCUCAUAAUAAAAUAAGUCUUCCAAGAACUAAAAUAAAACUUGCAAAGAUGUUUGAUCAACAUGUCACAACAUCUUGCUCAACAUCUUGGUGUGAUACAUGUUUUAACAAAAUUGUUUCCAAUCAUAAAAGCACGGACCUAACAGAAAUAUCUGAAUUUCUUGAAAUAUGUUAAAAGUACAAGUCUAGACCAUGUGAAGGAGAAAAUCGUUUGGGCUUGGACCGAUCAGGUUAGACACUUUGGAAAUACAACAACUAGCAGAAUUGAAUCUUCUCAUACAACAUUGAAGAAUUGGUUGGGAAAUAGUAAAGGUGAUUUAUGUAGAGAUUAGAACUUUAUGAACUAAAUGAUCUAAAAUCAGCAUAAAGAGAUAUAAAUAUCAUUUUGUCGCAACAUUACAGUAUUAGAACACUGAUUUAGAGACAGUGAUCUCUAUCCACAGUUGGUGGGAAAUAUAUCUCGAGGGAUAUUGGAUUUUACUUAUUACGAAGCUAAACGAGUGGAAAAACUAGGUUCAGAUAACUCAAAGUGUUAUUGUGCACAUAUGAAGACGUACAUUCUUCCACGUGCUUGUUUAAUUUCAAAGAAGAUGAAACUUGACAUACCGAUACAAACGGAUGAGAGUUACACGCGCUGAAAAAGGUUUUGGUUUGAUGAUGAUGGUGUGAUGAAGGAUGGUAAACAGAAUAUAUCUAUCAUGACUGAAUGGGAAGUGAUUCAAGAUAGAAUUUUAAAAUAUGUUGAUAAUAUGAAAUUGAGCAUCAAAGAGAAAUUAGGAAGAUUGCUUAUCCAGAAACCACAAAUUUGAAACCACCCUCGCAACUAGUAAAAACAAAGGGCGCUCCUAAGAAAAUUCAAUGAUACGGUCUCCGUCCUAUUUCGAAUAUGUUGACACACUUUUUUCUGGAUUCUCCGACUUCAAAAUCUCAAAAGAGUGUUUUCAAAGGUGUUCGCAUUAGCAAACCAUAUCCUUCACCGCCUUUACCAAAAAUUAUACACAUUGAAAAGAUACCAGUUUUUAUGCGUAAAUACAUUGAAAAGAUUGUAUAUGUUAAGGUGGCGCUAAUUGUGGUCUUCACGUUGUUUCAGCUUUGCUUGGUAAAGGAGAGAAGAAUCAUACACUUGUUUGCCAACAACUUCUCAAAUAUUUAAAGGCGCAUAAGGAAUCAUUCACAAUGAUAUAUGGGAAAAAAAUAUUUUGAUGCAAUUCAAGAAUCUCUUGUUCCUUUUGUUAGCGGUCUGGCAAUGGAGAGAAAAUAUUUCAAUGAAAUUCAAGAAUCUCUUAUUCCUUGGGUUAAUUUGGAACAACAUUUUCGUAUACACCAUGAUUUUACUAAACAAAAUAGUGUAAAUUCAAAAGUACAUCUCUGAAAUAUCCUCUAAGACAGUGUUGAGUUUCUAAGGUUCAUGUUGUUCCUUUUGGAUUGGCUAAAUUAGGUAAAAACAGCAUACAAACAAGAUGUAUUUUAGGCAACAUGUGGAAUAAGAUGUGACAGCAUGUGUUCCAACAUCUAAGUUUUUUACCAAGAAGAGUUAUACAACCAAAGUGCUUGACAAAACUAGCUAAGCAAAAGUUGUUUGGCUAAAGUUCUUGAUAGAACUAGUUAAGAAAUAGGCUUAAGUUUUGGGUUCUGACUAUCUUCAGAUGUCCCUCAGAAGUGUUAAGGUGUUGACUUCUUCAAGAUGCAUAAGUUUGCUUUUGGGAAGAAGCAUGUGAUGUCUAUCAAAAAUCAAUUAGAAAAGAUUUGGAUUUUUUUCAGUCAAAGAAGAUUUGAUUGAAUGUACCCUGAAGGAAUUUUUGGUCCAAGGUUUACUCUUCUAAGAAGAUUUAUAUAAAGAAAGUUAUUUUGGAUGUUCUAUUGUAACAUGUGGAACACGAUGUUCCAACAUGUAUGCUGCAACAUCUGGUCUAUGUCAACAGACAGAUGUUAAGUGCAGUUGUAGUUAAUAAGGGUGUGUUGUAAUAUUUGGUCUAUGUCAACAGACAGAUGUUAGUGCAGUUGUAGUAAAGAAGGGACACGUGUGGAACAUGAUGUUCUAACAUGUGUGCAACAUCUGGUCAGGGUUCAGCAGGUCAAUGUUGUUGCAUUUUUGGAGCGAAAAUCUGGUUAAGAUUCAAUCAUAUUUGUGGCUAUAUUUGUGCAAUGCAUUUGCGUGAUUUGUUUGACAAUUGUUGAAGAUCAAAUCAAUUUAAAUGGAGAUUUAAAUUUGAAUUUGAAUUAAUAAUAAAUCAUAUCUUUUGUUGGAGGCCUUUAUGGAGCAAAUCAAAUCCAAAAAUAUCUACUAUUAUUUUGGACGAUAUUAGAUCAAAAAUCCAAAGGACAAAAUCCCAGAAUUUCAUUGCUAUUUAAGGAGACUCAAACCUCACUUUUGAGUGUGCACGUUUUGAAGAUACCUAGUUUUAGGGUUUAUCUUUUGAGUCUUUGUUUGUGCGUCAUUCUAGAGCCUCCUUUCAUAUCUUAAGGUGUAGAGUUUGGUCUAUUAAUUGAGUUGUAAACCUUGUUCCAAGAUGCUAAGUCUAUAAGCUUGAGGACAGAGUGUUUCUUGUAUUCCACAUUAAUGCCAUAAUUGGAUUAAUGUUGAAUCUUUGUUGUGCACUAAUGUAUUUCAGUAACUUAGCAUAGUUGGUUUGUCUUAGUUGAAUUAUCAAUUCAACAAUCAAUAUACUUGUUAUUGAGAUUGAUCACUAGGUGUUUAGUGGUUGAAAACAAAUGAGUGGGUUCUUAUAUUUAUGAGGAUACCUAAAUAGAAAAUCACUAGGAUUAGGGAGAGGCAUAGAAUUUCAUAGAGUUUGAAGGUUCUUAUAAGACUAAUUGUUAUAGUUCGAAGUAGUGAAUUUCCUUUCUUGGGUAGAGUACCUCCUUAGACCUAGGUGUGAUUUCACCGAAUUGGGUUACCAAUUUCUUGUGUUCUCUUUGUUUCUUUUAUGGUUCAUCAUCUUAUUUAAACUAGGAUAUUAUACAUUGUUAUCAUACUGAUAUAUCUCGUUGGACCAGUUGUUCCAACAUCGUGUCCAACAUUUGUCCCCUGAGGAAUAGAAUUCCAUUCCAUAUUGAUUUAAAACUUGUAUAAAUAUGGGUGCCCUCUCAUAUUGUUAGCAAAAUCACACACAAAAUGUCUUAAUAUUCAUAUCACGCGUUUGUCUACUUCAACGUCGAGAGGCCUCAUCUUGAAUUUAGGUCUACAGAGAUCACUCGUCUUGCCGGUCUGAAAUAUACACUAGAGAAUCUGUUGUGUACCCAGAAAAUCGAAGAUUUUUGAAGCUCUAUUUUUGUUCACACUCGAUUGACAAUAAAAGGAAGAUACGGUUCAACAAGUUUGAGCCGAAGAUGGAUGAAGAUUUAAUUAUUAUGUGGAGUAGAUUUCACUGUUACGAAACAAAAGAUCUAAUUGAGGUGGGUGUGAAGGUUGUGUGAUCGAUUGAAGAUAUUUUGAAGAUAUUAAAACAUCAUUAGUCAUCAUUUGAUGAUGAAAUGUAAUGUUAAAUUUAUAUUAACAAUUAUCGAUGUAAUAUUAUAUUUUUUUCUAUGUAUAACAAUAAUUGAUGUUAAUUUAUGUAGUUUUUUUUUAUUUUGCAUUUGUUUCUGAUUUAUCAAACACAGUCAUUUUAAAAAAUACGGUUCCAAUUUUAUUAUAAGACUUUGAUUCGUUCGAAAAUACAUUUUCAUAUUUUAUAAAUAUUUAUUUUAUUUCACCAGGGUGCAAUAAGCGAUGCCUUUUUCUUCUGUCAUAUGAAUUCACUAUUUUUUUAUAAAAAUGCCUAAUUUUUAUUUUAGUUUUGAAUAGAAUUAGUAAAGAUGCCCGAAUUUAAUUUAUCAUUAAAAACUACAAUUUGUUCUCUCUUUUAUGAGCCAUGUAAAAACAACAAAUUUUUUACAUAUUUAUUAUUAUAAUUACAAUUUUAUUAAUAUUGAUAAUUUUGUUUAGAGGGUCUUAUAAUUAGAAAGUAGGGAGGAAAUAAUUUCUAGAAAGAAAAUGGAAAUGAGUUUUGGCUUGUCAACCAUCUGCUUGUCCAGUAGAUCCAUGGAUGAAUGAAUAUAAUAGUAGUGUUUGUUUAUCCUAAUGAUGCUGUAUACAUCAUUCGGUUGCUAUUUUUUUUUAGUUUAAUGGCAUGAUUUUCCUAGUAAAAAAAGAGUAUAAUAUGGUAUGAUUUUCUUUUCUUACGAUAAAUAAUAUCCAGAUGCAUCUAAUAUGACUUGGCAAGAAAAAUUGAGAACCCUACCAUUUUUUCGAAAAAAAAAACACUAUUUUAAGAUUUUUCUAUUUGUCCCCCUUACUCAGUGGAUUGGUUAAUAGAAUGGUGACUGACACUGUUUUGUUGGCUUUUUUUUUUAGUUUCUUUUUAUAUUUUGUAAUUUGAUGUGUACUGGAUUUUUUAAUUUUUAUUAGUUUCUUUAUAUAUAUAAUGGAUUUUACAUAAGUAUUAUUUUUUAUGUAUAUUUGAUUUCAACUUAUUACAUGAGUACUACCUCCGUUUAUUAUUAUAAGUCGUUUUGAAAAAAUAUUUUGUAUCACAAUAUAAAUAUAAGUCAUUUUAUAAUAUCAAUGAAUCGUUAAUGUUAUUUUUCCUUUUAUACCUUUAAAUAUUUAUUAUUCUCUCUCCUUUCGGUUAUGUGAAUUUGUAAUACGACCAACUUAUAAUAAAAAACGAAGGGAGUAUUUAUUAUAUAUUUUACAUGAGUACUAUUUAUUUUCUCCUCAAAUAUAUUUAAUUUUAAUUUAUUAUUUACUUUCAAUUUGUUAUUAAAAAAUAUUUAUAUUUUCAGUUUAUUAUUAAUAAAUAUUAAAAUACAUUUACUUUCAAUAUAUUUUAAUAUUUAUUUCAAUAAAAUCAAUUUUGAAAAUAAAUAUUAUGUAAUAUAUAUAUUUUGAGGUGAAAAUAAAUCAUAAAAACCAAAUAAUUUAGUGGUAGGCUCCCCUUAUGCAUGCUCAAAGUUAUGGUUUCAACACCUUUGACUACAAAAUAGAGGAGUCUUAAAAUGGAUUUGUCUUUUUUUAUAGGGCCUUUUUCGGAUUCUCCAUAUGGCAGGGGUUGAAAUAUAUUAAACCUUUUUUUUUUAUUUUACACUUUUCUUAUAUUAUCAAAUCUGCAAUAUUCUUUUGUAGUUUUUUCUAGGUUAUUUUCAACUUUCUAUCAUUUAGUUUAGAAUAAUGGGUAUGAACCUUACAUGUCAUAUUUGGUGACUUCUAUUAUGAACUUGGUUGAUAGCAAUAUUCUUAAGCUUGUUGACUUUCUCACAAUUGUCAUACUCAAAAUACAGUGAACUAAUUAAUUCAAUAAAUUGUAUUGAAUAAAUUCAGUUGGCUCAAUGAGUAUCACAUUAAAUUGAGAAAAAUAUAAAUCACAUGAGACAAUUAUACUGGAAUCCAGCAAUAUAAGACUUGAAAGCCAGUAAAAAAAUUUAUAGUUCAUUCGAUCAAAUUGUAAAUAGCUUCAGCUAUUCAUACUGUGUUUGUCAUUCAGUGAAUCUUGCAUUUAACAUUGUAAAUAGAUUUCUUGUAUCCAAAAAUAAAAUUAUAAGGGGUCCGACCCAAAUCAAACCCGACUAGGUUCAAAGACCAGUUGGUUUUAAUUUAACUUUGUUUUAAGUUAUGUCAAGCUUUCACAGCCAAAACUAGAAAUGAGAUGACAAAGAGAACUUCCAAAUGAGAAAUAGAUGGUUCAUAUAAUCUAAUUAAAUGAAAAUCAUUGUAGGUUAAAAAAAGCUUCUGAAAGUACAAUUAUAACAUCACAAGUUUCAGACACCUAUUUUGCUACUCUUCCAUAGCAUCCCCUUCAAUUACUUCAACCUUCUCCUUCAAAGGAGUAAUCUUUGUCAAGAGAACCUCUGCAAUAGAAGUUAACAACAUCAAAAAUUUCAAAAGGUGUAUUCUGUUUUAAGCAACAAGAAAAGUAGGAAACAAUCAGACUUAUCAAUUUCUUUCUGAUUUCUCAAAGUUACAGUAGAAUUUUAUUUUGUUCAAAUUUAAAUAAUGGCAUGCAAAUUUAAAUAAUGGCAUGCAUGUAUAUCAUCCAUGCUAAACCAGAGAUAUCAAUCGCGGCCGCGAAAGGCGCGAUUCCGUGCGGUCCAGCCGGAGCGGUCACCAGCCGCACGAGAAGAGAGUGGUGGAGCGGCGUUUGAAAACACGGCCGAGAUCGCCGCAAACGCAGGUUGCGGGUCGGGGGUUGCACCCUGGGCGGAGCGGUUUAUCCACUUUUGCUUUUUUUCUUUGGUUGUUUUGCAGAUGCGACGGAGAAGAAAGGGAGAAGAAAGGCAGCGGCGGAGAAGGGAUGGCACAACGGGCACAAUCUGCCGGGCGCCCGUUUGGCCGGUUCUUUUUUUGCGGCAGGGCAAAAUUUAGACCCACACUCUCUAAUGUGUCUGUCCCACCACGUUUUUUUCGGGCGUGGACAUUAACAUAAAUUUUUAUAUUUUUAAACUUAAAAAAGUAUAGUACCCACAUGCCCGCCCCGCUCCGCCCUCACUUUGCAGGUAGGCCAAGAUUUUAGACCCACACCCUCAACUAUGCUUACUCCGACAUAUUUUUUUGCGGGCUUAUACGACGCGGGCAUUGCCCGUUUGCCACCCUACAUUGCCACCCCUACAUAUGGUGAAGUUCAAUUAGCCUCCUUGUAUUGGGCUACACUCUUUCAAUGUGAAUGGAACCAGAUGAAAUACCUGGGUAGCUUCCUAAAAAUGUACACAAUCAGACCUUCCAAUUCUUAUAGAUUAUGAAGUACCAUAAAUAGACUGCUCAUUCUUUUUGAACUUUCUUCUACUUAACAAUAAAUGGUUUCCUUGUCCCACCACAAUAAUUAUGUGCCAUUGACGUAUGCCCCUCUAGGAAGAAACAAAAUGGUUCUUCAUAUGCAAAAAAGUUCUUAUAAAAUAUGGUUCAUAAGUGGAAUUGCAGUAUAUUAGUAUAUACUAAAUGAGAUGUGCACAAUUUGCUCGAUCUUAAGUAGGAUUGGACGGUCCGUGAAAGAUCCUAAAACUAGGAUCAUAGCACGGUAUUUAAGAUCUUACGGAAGGGUAAAAUGGUAAUUUAACAUACAUAUAGACACAAAAACAUGAAAAUUAUAAUACAUGGACAAAAUAACCUAUAAAUCACAAAAUUCAACCAAUUUAAUUAAUAACUCAUAAUUAUCAUUCUAUAAUUUAAGUUCAAAAGACUUUGUUCAAAAUAAGUAGCUCAAAAAACAUAAGUCUAACAUACAAGUCUAAUCAUCUAAGAUAUCAUGUAUUUUCAUAUUAUGAUAGUUAUAUAAAAGGCAACUUCAGCAAGUAAGAUCGUAAGAUCUUUAGACCUAGCACUCGAUCUUGACCACAAAUUGCACGAAAAAAGUUUUUUCUCAAAUCGUAGCACUAAAAGGCAACUUUAGCACGUAAGAUCGUAAGAUCUUGAGACCCAGUAUUCGAUCUUGACUACACUGAUGGUGAUGGUGGACUAGUUGAAUUGGCAGAGUGGUUUGAGAUACUAUACAUAUUAGAAUAUAAGUGGUUUGAGAGAAUGAGAAUGUGGGAGAUGAAAAUGAUACAGUCAGUAUAAGAUGAUUAAUAGCAAAGAGCCGUGACUUCUUUUAAAUAGGACAAAUAAUGAAGAAAAACAAGUACAAAGGCUGCUUAGUAACAAUUACCAACAGCCAAGGUUUAAAUACACAAAAAUUCCCCUCAACUUAAACCUACUGCUGUUAGAAUCAUCCUCACUUCAGCUCUAUUUCUUGCAGUUGACCUCAAAGCCAAAUGGAUUGAAUAUUCCUAAUGGUGUUUUAGAUGGAUGAGUGUAUAUGGAAUUAAGGAACACAACGGCUCUUACAGCAAGGAUAGUGUAGAGCUUCAGGCCCCUACCAGAGAAACAAUUCUCCUAACUCUUCACAAUUAACCAGUAUGACUCUCACUAUACUCUACAACAACAACAACCACCAAGCUUUAUCUCACUAACUAGGGUCAGCUACAUGGAUCAACUUUCGCUAUAAUGUUCUAUCAGGGAAAUAUUUCUAUUCAAAUCGUUAAUCUUGAGAUCUUUCUUAAUAACUUCUCUUAUAGUCUUUCUAGAUCUUCCUCUUCCUCUAAUUGUUUAACUUCUCUCCAUCUGAUCUACUCUUGUUGAUAUUUGUAAAUACAUAGUGUUAGAAUAUUUGUAUAUAGAAUAGUCCCACAUCGACUAUAUCAUGUAAUUAGUUGUAAUCUCUCUAUAUAUAAUAAAGUCUCCGUAGUGCUUUUAAAACACGUUAGAAUAGUCCCACAUCGACUAUAUCAUGUAAUUAGUUGUAAUCUCUCUAUAUAUAAUAAAGUCUCCGUAGUGCUUUUAAAACACGCGGUUUAACCUAAAUGUCUCUUAGUCUCUCCUAAUUCAAUAUGGUAUCUAGAGCCUACUAAGAGACAACUUUUUGUCGUGCUUUACCCGGUUGACCCACUGUCUUCCGGUGAUAAUUUUUUUUUCUCAAAUCGUGUCAUCACUCCGGUUUGUCUCUAACUUCUCCGGUUUUGCCUCUAACUUCUCCGGUUUUCUAGGGUAAAACCACCUUGCUGCCCGAUCCGGCCGGUUUUCCCAGCCGCCCCACUCGGCUCCCUCCAUCGCUCACAGAUCUGGUCUCCACAACCCCGAUUUUGUUUCUUUAAACCAUGGGAGAUGUUGAUUCCAUCUCGUUUACUAAAGUUCCGCUUAUCCCAUGUGAAAAACUAACCGGAUCAGCCAACUACAACGUAUGGGCUCGUGCUGUCGAUAUGUGGUUUCAUGGUCAGGGAUAUGAAGAUCACCUAACCACAAAAUUGGUUGAUGUUGCCGACGCAAAACUCGCUAAAUGGAAGAAAACGGAUGCCUCUCUCUGUACUGUGUUAUGGUUUUCCAUCGCACCCAACCUCCAAGCGCAGUAUCAAGCCUUCUCCACUUGCAAUGAGGUUUGGGAAAAGGCUAAGAAAGUCUUCUCCAACGACGUUCAUUGUCUAUACAGCGUCAUCCUCAAACUCGACACACUGAAGUUGCAAAAUAUGGAUAUGCAAGCCUAUCUGAGUAAGUUUGAUGCCUUGAAAGCGAGUUUCGAAACUCUCAUGCCUUAUGCAAAAGAUGCAACAGCUCAUUCCGAACAACAAAGUAAAUUUUUCAUGGUCAUGGCACUUAAGGGACUACCACCAGAACUCGAGUCCGUUCGUAAUCAGAUUUUAUCAGGUACUAUUGUUCCUAACUACGAUGCAGUUAGUGAACANNNNNNNNNNNNNNNNNNNNNNNNNNNNNNNNNNNNNNNNNNNNNNNNNNNNNNNNNNNNNNNNNNNNNNNNNNNNNNNNNNNNNNNNNNNNNNNNNNNNNNNNNNNNNNNNNNNNNNNNNNNNNNNNNNNNNNNNNNNNNNNNNNNNNNNNNNNNNNNNNNNNNNNNNNNNNNNNNNNNNNNNNNNNNNNNNNNNNNNNNNNNNNNNNNNNNNNNNNNNNNNNNNNNNNNNNNNNNNNNNNNNNNNNNNNNNNNNNNNNNNNNNNNNNNNNNNNNNNNNNNNNNNNNNNNNNNNNNNNNNNNNNNUCCCCUUUUGCUUUAGUUCACUCCGAUGUUUGGGGUCCCUCGCGUACCGUGUCGACUUUUGAGUCUAGAUAUUUUGUAACUUUUAUUGAUGAUUUUUCACGUUGCACAUGGUUAUUUUUAAUGAAGAACAGAUCUGAAUUUUUUUCUAUUUUUGAACAAUUUUAUCGAGAAAUAAGAACCCAAUUUGGUUUGUCUAUUCGUACCUUAAGAAGUGACAAUGCACGUGAAUAUUUAUCCCAACAGAUUCAAACUUUUAUGUCAUCCAAUGGUAUUUUGCACCAAACAUCUUGCCCUCAUACACCCCAACAAAACGGGGUAGCCGAACGCAAAAAUCGGCAUCUUGUAGAAACCACUUGGACCCUACUAAUCCAUGGUAAUGUUCCUCUCCGUUUUUGGGGGGAUGCGGUGCUCACAGUAUGUUACCUCAUAAAUCGCAUGCCCUCAUCUGUCCUUAAUAAUAAAAUCCCUCAUUCAAUCCUGUUUCCAAAUUCUCCUCUCCACCCAAUUCCUCCUCGAGUAUUCGGGUCAACGUGUUUUGUACACAAUCUCUCCCCUGGUCUUGAUAAACUAGCAGCUCGAUCACUAAAGUGUGUCUUUCUUGGUUAUCAUCGUUCCCAAAAGGGUUAUCGUUGUUAUUCUCAUACUCUACAACGAUACCUCAUAUCGGCCGAUGUUACCUUCUUCGAGUCUGUUCCAUAUUUCGGGUCCAACCCAGUAUCUCCGGAACCUCUUCAAGAAAGUACUUCCACACCUUUUCCGGCAGUUAUUAAUGUCCCGCCUACCAUUAUCCCCCACCAGUCUAUGGCUCCUGACCCCCCUACGUCUCGACCACUUCAAACAUAUCAGCGUCGUCGUCCAACGUCUGUCGUCCCCGUCCCUGAGGUCAUACCUGUCCCUGAGGUCGUUGCAGACUCUCCUCCGACGCCUCCGCCAUCACCGGAUCCGAUCCUGCAACCUGAGUCCGAUCUUCCGAUUGCCCUUCGAAAAGGUAUACGUCAAACACGAAAUCCGUCUCCACAUUAUAUUGAUUUAUGUUAUCAUCGUCUUUCCCCUUUGCAGUAUACUUGUUUGUCUUCUUUGUCUUCUGUUUCUAUUCCUAAAACUCCAGGUGAAGCAUUAUCUCACCCUGAGUGGAGGCAAGCAAUGAUUGAUGAAAUGUGUGCUCUUCAAAGCAGUGGUACCUGGGAACUGGUUCCUCUACCCCNNNNNNNNNNNNNNNNNNNNNNNNNNNNNNNNNNNNNNNNNNNNNNNNNNNNNNNNNNNNNNNNNNNNNNNNNNNNNNNNNNNNNNNNNNNNNNNNNNNNNNNNNNNNNNNNNNNNNNNNNNNNNNNNNNNNNNNNNNNNNNNNNNNNNNNNNNNNNNNNNNNNNNNNNNNNNNNNNNNNNNNNNNNNNNNNNNNNNNNNNNNNNNNNNNNNNNNNNNNNNNNNNNNNNNNNNNNNNNNNNNNNNNNNNNNNNNNNNNNNNNNNNNNNNNNNNNNNNNNNNNNNNNNNNNNNNNNNNNNNNNNNNNNNNNNNNNNNNNNNNNNNNNNNNNNNNNNNNNNNNNNNNNNNNNNNNNNNNNNNNNNNNNNNNNNNNNNNNNNNNNNNNNNNNNNNNNNNNNNNNNNNNNNNNNNNNNNNNNNNNNNNNNNNNNNNNNNNNNNNNNNNNNNNNNNNNNNNNNNNNNNNNNNNNNNNNNNNNNNNNNNNNNNNNNNNNNNNNNNNNNNNNNNNNNNNNNNNNNNNNNNNNNNNNNNNNNNNNNNNNNNNNNNNNNNNNNNNNNNNNNNNNNNNNNNNNNNNNNNNNNNNNNNNNNNNNNNNNNNNNNNNNNNNNNNNNNNNNNNNNNNNNNNNNNNNNNNNNNNNNNNNNNNNNNNNNNNNNNNNNNNNNNNNNNNNNNNNNNNNNNNNNNNNNNNNNNNNNNNNNNNNNNNNNNNNNNNNNNNNNNNNNNNNNNNNNNNNNNNNNNNNNNNNNNNNNNNNNNNNNNNNNNNNNNNNNNNNNNNNNNNNNNNNNNNNNNNNNNNNNNNNNNNNNNNNNNNNNNNNNNNNNNNNNNNNNNNNNNNNNNNNNNNNNNNNNNNNNNNNNNNNNNNNNNNNNNNNNNNNNNNNNNNNNNNNNNNNNNNNNNNNNNNNNNNNNNNNNNNNNNNNNNNNNNNNNNNNNNNNNNNNNNNNNNNNNNNNNNNNNNNNNNNNNNNNNNNNNNNNNNNNNNNNNNNNNNNNNNNNNNNNNNNNNNNNNNNNNNNNNNNNNNNNNNNNNNNNNNNNNNNNNNNNNNNNNNNNNNNNNNNNNNNNNNNNNNNNNNNNNNNNNNNNNNNNNNNNNNNNNNNNNNNNNNNNNNNNNNNNNNNNNNNNNNNNNNNNNNNNNNNNNNNNNNNNNNNNNNNNNNNNNNNNNNNNNNNNNNNNNNNNNNNNNNNNNNNNNNNNNNNNNNNNNNNNNNNNNNNNNNNNNNNNNNNNNNNNNNNNNNNNNNNNNNNNNNNNNNNNNNNNNNNNNNNNNNNNNNNNNNNNNNNNNNNNNNNNNNNNNNNNNNNNNNNNNNNNNNNNNNNNNNNNNNNNNNNNNNNNNNNNNNNNNNNNNNNNNNNNNNNNNNNNNNNNNNNNNNNNNNNNNNNNNNNNNNNNNNNNNNNNNNNNNNNNNNNNNNNNNNNNNNNNNNNNNNNNNNNNNNNNNNNNNNNNNNNNNNNNNNNNNNNNNNNNNNNNNNNNNNNNNNNNNNNNNNNNNNNNNNNNNNNNNNNNNNNNNNNNNNNNNNNNNNNNNNNNNNNNNNNNNNNNNNNNNNNNNNNNNNNNNNNNNNNNNNNNNNNNNNNNNNNNNNNNNNNNNNNNNNNNNNNNNNNNNNNNNNNNNNNNNNNNNNNNNNNNNNNNNNNNNNNNNNNNNNNNNNNNNNNNNNNNNNNNNNNNNNNNNNNNNNNNNNNNNNNNNNNNNNNNNNNNNNNNNNNNNNNNNNNNNNNNNNNNNNNNNNNNNNNNNNNNNNNNNNNNNNNNNNNNNNNNUUGUUGGAGGAAACCUUAUAUCCUGGAAAAGUAAGAAACAAAACGUAGUUGCAAGAUCAAGCGCCGAGGCAGAGUAUAGGGCCAUGGCAAUGGCAACAUGUGAACUUAUUUGGUUAAAGCAGUUGCUCAAGGAACUUCAAAUUGAAGAAGCAAGACCAAUGACACUUAUUUGUGAUAAUCAAGCUGCAUUGCACAUUGCUUCAAAUCCAGUCUUCCAUGAGAGGACCAAACAUAUUGAGAUAGACUGUCACUUUGUUAGAGAGAAGAUCGAGUCAGGUGACAUCGUCACAAGCUUUGUCAAUUCUAAUGAUCAAUUGGCAGAUGUGUUUACAAAAUCUCUGAGAAGUCCCCGAACUAAUUAUAUAUGUAACAAGCUUGGUGCAUUUGACUUAUAUGCUCAAGCUUGAGGGGGAGUGUUGAUAUUUGUAAAUACAUAGUGUUAGAAUAUUUGUAUAUAGAAUAGUCCCACAUCGACUAUAUCAUGUAAUUAGUUGUAAUCUCUCUAUAUAUAAUAAAGUCUCCGUAGUGCUUUUAAAACACGCGGUUUAACCUAAAUGUCUCUUAGUCUCUCCUAAUUCAAUAACUCUCACUAUACUCUCGCUAACUAGGGUCAGCUACAUGGAUCAACUUUCGCUAUAAUGUUCUAUCAGGGACAUAUUUCUAUUCAAAGCGUUAAUCUCGAGAUCUUUCUUAAUAACUUCUCUUAUAGUCUUUCUAGAUCUUCCUCUUCCUCUAAUUGUUUAACUUCUCUCCAUCUGAUCUACUCUCACUAUACUCGGCCACAAAUAUAUUCCCUUCUCUCUAGCCGAAUUCCUAGAACCCAGCUCCAUAUUAUAACUAACUCACUCUCUAUCCCUCUAAGUGGGCCCUGGAUAACUGAGCCUAUGUGUAUAGAUCAGGAAACCCAUCACCUUCCAAUACUGAUAGAUUAUCUCAGUACCAUAAGUUUGCUCUUUUUC
rnacentral:lncRNA from 1 species